AGUAGCGAGAGCUUGUGACCCGAGCGGGGGCAUCAAGGUGGUGGGACAUGGGCUCGAAUCCUUUGGGCCGGGUCUGCAGAGGCUUCUUUCUGGCCCGCCCGUUCCAAGCCGAGAGCUGAUUCAUGUGGUUCGGGCGAAGGCUCGGGCCACGCGUGUCCUAAAGUGGAGGGCACCACGUGAGGCUGGUUUCACAGAGCAGCGGAAACCUCCCGCUCCCGGCAGUGGAAGGAUAACGGGCCGGUGCCGAUCAGAACCCACCAUGGCCCAAUGGGCCGAGUCCUACUGGACCACCACCUUUUUUCUUUUUCGGCCUUUUGGACUUAUUCUCUGAAUCUUCUUCUUUAAGUUGCAUAACUCGAAUUUUAUAUUUAAAUUGCCUUUGUAAAUCUAGGUUCUUCGUUCAACAUGAUUUUUUAUGAAAAAAAAUUAUUUAAAUCAAAACUGAUUCGAUUUGUAUGACAUCGGCGUAUUAUAUAGAGAGGUGUAAGCUAAAUUUUAAAAAAAUGACCUUACCUUUACAUGAACACGUGGCGACGAUCGGUUCUUUUCCAUGAUGCCAUCUACUAGUAUAGCUAAUGAAGACUCAACUGAACUAUUGUUGAUAGAAUUGAAUCCGUGAUUUUAUUCAUGAUGGGAUUUGUUGUGUACAUUACACAAUGAGAAUGAAGUAUAUAGUCAAUGCAAAUUUCAAUGGGACCUUUUGUAUAGCUUCUAGAUCGCUCAUUAUAAUUCAAAGCCGAAAAUCCAUGGUGCAACCCUUUUCAUAAAUGACGUUUUCAUGAAACGUGAUUAAAUAAUAAACUUAUCAAAUGGGUGGGUUUGGUUGAAAAUAAUUCGAUUCAAAUUGACCUAUUUAUUAGUAAUACAAUUGCAGAGACUUGAAAUCAACCCAACUUAAACUUGACCCAACCCAAGCUCCAUUCUUAGCAAUUUUUUUCAUUAAAUUGUUACUUUGAAGUAGACACAUCAAAUGUAUGGGUCGGGUUGAAAAUGAUCCAACUCCUAUUGAUCCAAUUUCAUGUAGUGUAGAUUUAGUGAUCCAUACUCGACCCGAUCAAUAUCCAAACUGACUCGUAUUGCUAAAAUCCAUUAAUAUUCUAGAAAAACACACACCCACUUUAAGCUCUAGAUAAAAACUUCAAAUAAAAAUAAAUAAAUAAAUAAAUAAAUAAAUAAAUAAAUAAAUAAAUAAUAGCAAACAAAUAAAAAAUAUAUAAAAAACCUAUAAAUUGAAAUAAAUGUUAAGCUCAAAUGUGUGGGUCAAGUCAGGUUGAAAAUGAUCCAACUUAUAUUGGCGCAUAUUCAUGUAGUGUAGAUUUAGUGAUCCAUACUCGAUCCGACCAGUACUCAAACUGACUCAUAUUGCUAAAAUUCAUUAAUAUUCUAGAAAAACACACACCAACUUUAAGCUCUAUGUUAAUUAGAUAAAAACUUCAAAUAAAAAAAAUAAUAGCAAAAAAAUAAAAAAAUAAAAAAAUAUAAAAAACCUAUAAAUUGAAAUAUUUAUAAAGAAUCUGACCAACAAAAUAUAUAUAUUUAUAAAAACCUUAGGGUGGAUAAAUCCAAUUUGAAACUUGGAUUUAAUGAGCCCAAUUUCAUGUGGGUAGUUAUUUUAUUUUUAAAUGGUUUACAAAUGAGUUAAGAAAAAAAAAAACUCAAAAAAAUAGAUUAUUAGUAACCAAUAAUUUAACCCAUUUUUAGAAACCAACGCCCGCUCACGAUGUGGUCUAAUUCUACGAACAUUUUGGAGGUCUUCAGGGAUCAAAUUGAUGUUCAUUCUUUACCAAAAAAAAAAAAAGUUGAUGUUCAUAAGAUCCUAUGAAAGCUAUUGUAUGCAAGUGCAUGAGAUUAGGGGCAAGCGCAAAGAAAAAGACCUUGGAUUCAAACAGAAUACAUGUGGAAUUAGAAUAAUACAUGAUAUACGAUGCGACUAGAAAGUAUAACAGUAAAAAUGGAUCUCCUAUAUUUGAUGUCAUAUCUUUAUAUUCCAUUUUAAUGAAAUCUUGAACUUCUAAAACUAAGCACAAUACAAAGCAGAAGAAAUCUAGAUUGGGGAGAAGCUACUUGCUCUGCUAUGCGAAAAGCAGAACACCAACAAUUACAAAGCUUUAACAUCGUAGGCGUUCGGCAGCAAAAUAGGAAAUCAAUCAAGACAGGUUUCACUUAUGUGCAUCAAAUCAAGUAAAACACAAAAAAUCGAAACCCACAUUGGGUGCAAAACAGCACAAAAGUCCACUGAACAAGAAACCGAUGGAUUACCUAAGCUUCAAAGAGUGAAUGACACGCGGGGAGAGAAUAUUAGGGUUCGUAAGCAAGAGCUGGAAGGCCCGGAAUCGCACUAGAGCUCGACAUUGGAUCAACAAGACUCUACAAGAACCGCGAACUAACGAAAUUCAGGGAGAUGACGACGACAACGGGAUGAUGGAUAAGGGUCGAUCACACGCUCGUAGAGUCAGCUUUGACUAAGCUGUUGAGGCAAACAUCGAUGCCCAGGAGCUAGACUUUCACGGAGUGAGGCCAAAGCUCAUCGACCUUUCGGGGAGCAGCAGAGGCGGCUCGGAGGCUAGUCGCGGAGGCAGUUUGGAGGCAAGUGGCGGAGGCAAGCGGCAAAGGCGAGUGAAGGAGGCAAGCAGUCGAGGCAGGCAAGUAUAUGAGGAAACUUUGCAUUUUAGCCUUUUAGGUUACCUAUUUGGGCAACUUAAUGUCGAAAAUGCGUUUAAAAUGAGUCAAACGUUCCGACCCAUUUUCUACCAAUAUAAAUUCAGCUUAAAAUUUAUUGGAUCCAUCUUAAUUACCCUUUUUACUGGGCCUCUAUAUUUUUAUAAUCCACGUACAAUCUAUUGACAUAAAAUAUGAGUCGGAAAGUCGAUUUUACACUCAUUUUAUUAAUCCUACUCUGAAAAAUGAAUGACUCCGUGGACCAACUUAUUGAGUCAAUGGGGUGCUCAGGCAUGUCAUGUGAAUAGAAUCUUUUUCGGGCCUUUACCUGAACCAAACGGGAACCCACGCCGUUGGCUACGAUCUGAUUGUGCAGGCAACAUUGAAAGCAAUCAAAUACCUGAAAACUCUCCCCGCCCCCCCAGUUCAUCAUGAAACGCACUCAUCCGUUUCCUACGCAUAACGAGUUGGAACACGAGAACGGAACCGAGUUAUAGAUAUAAGACCAAAAUCAAAAUGAGAGCGUAAAAGUCCACAGGAUGGGUGGCGUCUCCAGUCCAGAAUUAGACCUUGAAUAGCUGCUGCUGCUGCUCUCCUCCAAUAUAUACCACAGAGCUUCUUUGCUCAAAGCUUUUUCACUAGACAAAUUCUCACCCCGGCACCACCUUGUUUUCACAUCCAUCAUCACGCUCGCGUAGAGGAAAACCCGUAUGCGAUGGCCCUCAUCGUCGUGCAUCUCCUUGAGCUGGCGACACGGUCAAUCUCUCGUGAUGUUCUGCGCUUCGUCGAAGGAAGAAGCUCAGCUUGUCCCACAUCGCAAACAGCCGCGGAUUAAAAAGAGUUAAUAAGCCUCGCCCGCGUGAGAGGAGAUCGCCGAGCUCAGUAGCGAGAGCUUGUAACCCGAGCGGGGGCACUAAGGUGGUGGGACGUAAGCUCGAAUCCUUUGGGCUGGGUCUGCAGAGGCUUCUUUCUGGCCCGCCCGUUCCAAGCCGAGAGCUGAUUCAUGUGGUUCGGGCGAAUGCCCGGGCCACGUGUGUCCUAAAGCGGAGGGCACCACGUGAGGCUGGUUUCACAGAGCAGCGAAAACCUCCCGCUCCCGGCAGUGGAAGGAUAACGGGCCGGUGCCGAUCAGCACCCGCUGUGGUCCAACGGGCCGAGUCCUACUGGACCACCACCUUUUUCUUUUUCGGCUUUUUGGACUUAUUCUCAGAAUCUUCUUUAAGUUGCAUGACUCGAAUUUUAUAUUUAAAUUGCCUUUGUAAAUCUAGCUUCUUUGUUCAACAUGAUUUUUUAUAAAUAUAUAUAGAAUCUAUGAUUUUAUUCAUGAUGGGAUUUUUUGUGUACAUUAAGAUAGUAAGAAUGAAGUAUAUAGUCAAUGCAAAUUUCAAUGGGACCUUUUGUAUAGCUUCUAGAUCGCCUAGUAUAAUUCAAAGCCGAAAAUCCAUGGUGCAACCCUUUUCAUAAAUGACAUUUACAUGAAACGUGAUUAAAUAAUAAACCCAUCAAAUGGGUGGGUUUGGUUAAAAAUAAUCCAAUCCAAAUUGACCUAUGUAUUAGUAAUACAAUUGCAGAGACUUGGAAUCGACUCAACUUAAACUUGACCCAACUUAGGCUCCAUUCUUAGCAAUUUUUCUCAUUAAAUUGUUACUUUAAAAUAGACCCAUCAAAUGUGUGGGUCGGAUCAAGUCGAAAAUGAUCUAAUUCAUAUGACCUAUAUUCAUGUAGUGUAAAUUUAGUGAUCCAUAUUAGACCCAACCUGUACCCAAAUCGACUAGUAUUGCUAAAACCCAUUGAUAUUUUAGAAAAACACACACACCCACUUUAAACUCUAUGCUAAUUAGAUAAAAGCUUCAAAUAAAAAUAAAAAAAGAAAAUAAAAAAUAUUUAUAAAAAACGUAGGGCGGAUAAAUCCAUUUUGCAACUUGGAUUUAAUGAGCCCAAUUUCAUGUGGGUAGUUGCAAGCAAUCGAGGCAGGCAAGUAUCAGGAAACUUUGCGUUUUAGCCUUUUAGGUUACCUAUUGGGCAACUUAACAUCGAAAAUGCAUCUAAAAUGAGUCAAACGUUCCGACCCAUUUUCCACCAAUAUAAAUUCAGCUUAAAACUUAUUGGACCCAUUUUAACUACCCUUUUUACUGGGCCUCUAUAUUUUUAUAAUCCACGUACAAUCUAUUAACACAAAAUAUGAGUUGGAAAGUGGAUUUUACACUCAUUUUACCAAUCCUAUUAUGAAGAAUGAAUGACUCCGUGGACCAACUUAUUGAGUCAAUGGGAUGCUCAGGCAUCAAGUUAUGGACAAAAACAUGAAAAUGUCGAUGAGGCAAAGGCUAUUUCUCAUUUAAUAAGACCUCUCUCGAUAUUGUAAUGUCUUAUUGUAUUACUUUUAAGACAUUGCGAUUUUAGAUCAGGCGUUAUCAAAUUCAUGCACAAGUCACAAGACGAUGAUUCUAACAAAAUUAACUACAAAGGCGUCCAGUUACAGCUUUCAUUGAAUUUUCAGCAUGUCAUGCCGAAUUUGAAUGAAUUAUUCAAAGUAAUUCAGUCGACAAUGGAGGGUGAUGCCCUUCCAGAAAGUCAACGGCGCCUUCCAAAGUAUAUUCCACAACGCGCGUAGAACACGUUCACAGAUUUUCCUGCGUUUCCAUUAGUCAGGAUUUUGACAAGAUCAUUGUAGUUAACGAGAUUUUUGUACUACAAAAAGAACAGUAGCGUGUGAUAAGAUUGACAGAAACAAAUAAAGCAAAUUCCGUGCUGAUCGACCAAGUACCAUCCCGAAAGAUGCCUUAUGAACCUUCAAAUGUUGGCAACGGAUCACCUGUAGUGCGACAAGCCCCAGCCUCGUUCAAAUUGGGCAGAGACCCAUCAAGUAGUGAACAUAGCGCUGCUCGACAGUUUCCGCACAGGCUGAUGUCAUCAUUAAUUUGCAGAAAUGAAAGGUUACACCAUAAAGACUUGUCCAAAGGUUUUCGUUAUCAAAACAAUUUACAUACCUUCACUUGCAAGUAGCUUAAUGUCGUUUCACAACAGAAGAAGCUAAUAUUUAUACAAUCUACAAAUUGAAAAGAAAAGGGGAAACUAAUGGAGAAAAAUAACAAAAAGGCACAGAAUUACUGGAGUUUGACAUACUUUAUGCACAAGGGCCGCAUCCAGAUUGCACUAUAUUACAAGUAGACUUCCUCGAGACUCACAUAGGAGUCUCCUUUCGCAGUUUCAACUCUUCCUUCCCAUAAAUUCGUUGAAGCUCACGAGUUGCGGCUUGGUAAGAUUCUGGAAAACAGAAUAAUGAACUUAUCGGAAGGUACAAUUUGCCAAAACAACAAAAGUUCUUCAACUUGACACAAAAACUUGUGGUGUCUUAAUAAGAAGUUUCCAUGGUAAAGUAUGGCAAAACUAUCCAAUUUUCAAAAAAUUUAAGAAAAAGCAAACUUGUAGUUAUUGAAUAGAGUGCCUCCAUCCUGAGAUUGUCAGGAAAGAUAAGGAGAAUAUUAUACAAGCGAGGGGGUAUACUCUAUCAUCCAGGUAAAAGGUCGGACGUUAAUCUAUAAAAUUCAUCUGCUUAUCCACAUUACCUAUUCCAGAAUUUCUACAACAUAUCUCUAUGACCUGAACGGAAGCAAUAAUUUUUUCGACUUUACACCUGACCAGUCACGAAAAAUUAUCGUUCCGCUAGGCAAAAAACGGAGUGUUACAUAACAUAUUUAUAGGAUAGGAGACGUAAGGAAGAAAGGAGUUGUUCCAUAAUUUCUGACAUGAAAAUAACAUGCAAAUCCUCAUAUAUAAUACGUAGUGUUGAAGGACAUUUUGCAGUAAUAAAUAUAGAUCAAAGGAUUCCCUUUUUUUUGGGUCAGAAUCAAAGGAUUCCUUGAACAUGUGUCAGGAGGUGAUUUUAUUAUUUCUUGACCUUGUUGGUAAAUGCUCUCCACAUAUAAGUAAAACUCCUGAUUUCUUGAAUGAUUAACGAUUAGAGAUAUCUAGCAGAUGCACAAUCACCUUUUAGUCUGAGUUCGAGAUGCACGGAUUUAUUUGCACAUCCACAUUAUCAAUACGCACACAAAUUCUUGGAUUCAUGUGUGCGUGUGCAUGCGUGUGUGGUGGGUUGGAGAGAGAGAGAGAGAGAGAGAUGAAUGAUCUUUCUCCAAUAAACUGCAUAUAAUACCGAGAAAGAUAUCUAUUUUACCUUUCCAGAUGCGAAAAGAUUUCUGAUUAAUUGGUGCACCAAACACAGUCUGAAUUGUAUCAAACAGCAAGCUCUCAGGAGUGCUCCGUAGUUCUUGAACUAUUUGAUAGAUGGUCUUCCCAUUCUCAAAGUAUAUAUGAUUGUUUGGAUGCUUUGUCUUGCAACCGGCAUGUCGCUCGAAUUCAUAUGCAUUAAGCACCUUACAGCAAAAAUUGACAAAGUAUAAGCUCUCUAUAGAGCAUGACUCCACCACGAUCUCCUUAAGCAGCAGUAAAAGGUCUUACCUUCGAAUAAUUGCAUGAUUGACAGCCACAAAGAUAGCCAGAAUCCUUUAUGAUUCCCCGAAGCUCCUUAUUGGAGUAUUAUGACUAUAAGUCACUCAGCAGCAAUGAAUGGAAAGGAAUGAAUGGAAAUAAUCUAAGGCAGGUUACCUCACAUGACACAGAAACAUACUUUACUGGGAUGCCGUCAAGCAUGCCAGUAGAUAUCAGGCUUCUGACAUUUGAAGGGAAGCUAUUAGGGGCUUCUUUUCUAGAUGGUUUUGACUCUGGCUUAUUCUUGGAAACAAAAUCACUUCUAGACUUGACCACCCUCAUGACAUUCGCAUUUGAAGUGGCCACCUGCUUCCUACCAUCUUCUUUUGAUAUUUGAAGUGAAGAUUGACUGUCUGGCUCAUCUAAGCCACCAACUGAUCUUCCUACAGGGAUAAUGUCCCGUUCAUCAUUAAAACCAUCAAAGGAGAUAAUGUUGCCUUCCUCCUUAUAUGCAUCAGCUACGGAGACAGCAGUAGGAUCUUCCUUGUAAUAUGCAAAGUCCCUUGAUUUGAUUUGACCACAUUCCUCAUAUGUGUGCCUCAUUAAAUUGACAUUCUCGAUGUCCUUAUUGUAGUCCUGUCCCACUGGUAUAAUGACCAUGUCGUUUUGUCUGUCAUAAGCCAGAGCACUAUGCAUAUCAAUAUGAUUUUCCCUGUCAAAGCUAUUCAUCUUCAGACUGUAGAUUCCAGUUUCAGAAUCCUUAACCCGAUUGGCCUUAACUUUUCCAAUUCCAUUGUAGCUGAGACACAUCUCUGGGUCCUCCGUGGAUUGAGAUAUGGACAAACCUACAGAUAUGUCAUCCUCAUACUGAUCCUCUGAAUCCUUUUCACUCAAAUUUGCCCCACCUGCUUCUACAAGAGAAAUACUCCUUUCAGUGAAGUCAACAGGCCUUGUAGUUUCGGAUCCAAACAACCUGUCAACAAAUUGGUUGGAUGUCGGCUGAAAACUGGCUAGACUCUCCCAUGCAGGAAUGUUGGAAUGUGAAAUUCUGGAAAUUGACUGGGCACUUGGAGAUUGUACUGCAUGCUUCUUGCUAGAGAAAAAAUCCGCCUCGCCAGAAUCUGCUAACCAUCGAUGAGUCCGUUUUGUUUCAAUUCUGGAGGGGUUAUCAAAUGUUGGACCUCUUUCAGCACCUUUGGCCAUCCAUAAACUGUUAUCCUGAAAUGACCAGCCAAACAACACAAUCACCAAUGAUGGUUUAAUCUUAAAUUUUUAAUAUGCCCUCACAUUCCCUUGCAAGUAUGGGUGGCGAGAGAUGAGAAAGGAUGGCAAUCUUCAGCUUUCAUGACUGAGUGCACACAUAGGCACACGGCACGAAUCUAAAAGCUAAAGCCAGCACAAUUUCUAAUAAGUUAUACCAACUGAUCCCUAUAGCCUCUAACAGGAAAUACAAUCAUGUGCUAGCUCCCUCUUUAAUCUAAAUGACACUAAAAAGAAAGUAUAUAAACACUAGAAAUGCGCCUCCCUCCCUCUGGGGGGAACUAAUCAACACUCCCCCACUCUCCCCCACACACAGAAAAAGAAGAAGUUAAAAAGAACAGAAAAAAGAGAAGGAAAAGAACAAAAAAGAAAAAGCUUUCCAUAGAAACUCUCAUGCAUUGGUUAUCACUCAUCAUGUCUACAUUCCACUCACCAUGGCUCGAUAAAACUCAAAAGAUUGCUUAUGCUUUGUUUCUUUCUAAUAUCCAGUAUCCCAAUCGUUACCAAUAUUGCUAUGAGUACGAAGCUCUCAUGUUUCUAGCUAAAUAUCCACAGUUCAAUUUGUACACAAUACUUGAGAUCUUCCUUGAUCUUACAGAAACAUUAGCACCUAACUAUCUUUUUCACCAGUUGAUAUUCAAUGCCAAACAGCAAACAGAAAUGAGAAACCUAGCCAAUGUUACCAUUUCGCUUCUCCAAGUCUAAUGAGGAAACAGCAUCAUGCGAUACCACUCCAGCUGUCGUCCCCGCUGCUGCAAAGCCUUCCUUCCUUGCUUCCUUCCUUCCUUCCUUCUAUCCACGAGUAUGCGCGCGAACCGGCGACGUCCGAAUCCACGUCAAAACCUCUGCAACGGCCCAAAAAGAAGCUCGUUCAGCGCACAGUAAACACAAACAACAACCGACGCGCAUUGACCUGCAAACAAUCAAUAAACUACUCCACUUCUGCACAAGCGCCACGCACGAAAUUGAUCCCACAUUCCGCCAAAACAGCGAAAGAAAUCCGACGCAAGCACCUCGUUCGCGGCCAAUAGCACUUCUCAAGACGACGCAAUACAUUCUCAAAGUCAUUCCUCGAGGUUUUCGGGAAAUCGAAAGCCAAGCCGAACAAUGCCCUAGGCCUCCAGACACGUGGCGAAUCACGGAACGCGAAAAUCGACGAGAGCCGUAGCUUACGGUGAUCGUCGACGAAACGGAGACGACCGGAAACACGAUCGCCGGUCACGGAGUCGACUCGCUCGUCGCCGGCGACGGAACAGCCGGCGCCUGCUCGGAGGACAUGGGGCUGCGUCGGAGAGAGAAGCGGUUGACGUUGGAGUGGGCGAGUCACACCGGAUGGUAGCUCGCGCGGAGGAGCAUCGUAAGCAGGGUGCGUCCGCAUGGCCACGGUGGCGGGCGACGCGCAUCUCUACCGUACACGUCUCGUGUCAAGCUGUGGAAAUGAAUUCACGCCGUCCGUUGCAAAUACUCGAUAUAUUUAUGUAGUUUCCAUUUUUUUUUUCCAUUUUUGGUUUUUCUUUUCUUUUUUUGGCCGGACCGUUUUUGGUUCUUACGUGAUGCAUUUUCCUACAUCUUUCCCUUCCUUCCAACUCUUUAAAAAGUUCCCUAAAAUAUUUCAAAUUAUUCUACUUUUACCAAAUUACCGAAAUAAUUUCCAUGGCUUAAAAACGUUAAUAUUGAUGUAAUGUAUUUUGGAAAAGUCGAGACAUUUAACACCGAUGGUGCAUUUAUUUAGCUGAAAAUGAAAGAUUUGGAAAAAAUAUAUAUUUUUUAAAUAAAAAAUUAAAUUGCUUACAAAAAAUGAAUGAAUAGAAAAUAUUUUUAUACUUCACAAAAAAGCGUAAACAUAAAUUAUUGUUGAUAAUAAAAACAUUGUUUAUUGACCUAUCAUUUCAAGUGAUAUAAGUGAAUACUUUUUAAAAAAAUAUUCUUCAAGUCACUCAUUUUUGGUGAAAUAAAUGAAACUCAAAUAAAAAUUAAAUUUCAAAAAUGAACAUUAUAGGGUGUUAUCUUGACAUCUUGUAUUAGUGCCCUGAGGCACAAAUAAAAUAUCUACAUUGAGAUCAGGUCCGUUUAGUAUCAUUUAUGACAUGUGACGUGCCAUGUCGUAUCGUUAUGGCCAUUUUCAUAUCGCAACAUGAGUCCAUCCCUUGUAAUAUAACAAUCAAGUCAGGUACUAUAUUGUGCUGAUACUGAGUCUCCAGGAUCUUACAAUUAUGGUGUGACGCACCUCAUGCUUCCUUCGACCUUCCCCCGGGAUUGGCGUAUGGUUGUUGCCCGGGUUUCGCAAUGCCUCGAGUCCUACCUUUUGUCGAGGUUCAUUCUCCGGCAAAGUGUUCAAAGACAGGCUAACUUGCUGCUGAGUUUGCGCGCGCAAGCGGUCGUUCGACUUAACUCAAAAAGAAAGUUCCAGUUUUGGAUAGUAACGUGACAACCAGUGAUGACUGAUGAGGUUAUGCAGAUGCGAUGUAGUUGUUUCCGAUGCUUCUAUAUGCGAUUCCAGCGAACGAGAUACUCGCAAAGUUUCUUCACCAACAAACCGAGGCCCGAGUCUUCGGACAGCUUGGUCGGUCCGGUCGGGACUUGGGACGUUUAGCAGCAGAAAUAAAGGGCAAGAUGCUUGUGCUCAGAAGAGUUCAAGAGGAAGGAAAGCGAAGAACCGAAACAUGUCCAUUUGAUAGCGCGAAUAUGUUCAGAAACUUGUAUGAAGUUCAAUCCCUUGUAGUAAUAUUGGUUGGUCUGAGAAAGAAGAUGCAAGGCAGUGUGUUUGGACGCAUUGCUUAUCCAGACAUGUUGCAAGUGGGUUGAAAGUUCUCUUCGUGCAUAUCAGCUUGAUAUGGUUAAAAGUCGGUGCUAUGGAUUCAACAAGGCAAGUUCCAAAUACCAUCGUUUGCUUCACAUUCGCAUGUACUGUCGAAGAAUGUGGAGCCGUUUUACUUUGCUAGCAGUGAAAAAUCAUGGUCCUAGUCGAGAGAGCAAACAGCAUUGAAGAAAGAAUCGACGGCAAGAGCUACCUCUUGGGAUGACAUUUCUUGCUGGAGUACCAACCGGCACUCUCAAAGCACAUUUAGUUAGCUCAUUUACCUGGUGCGCUCUAAUGAAAUAUGCAGCAACAUUCUUCCCUUCGUUUUUCUUUGAAGGACUCCUCUUGACCCUGGAUGCUCCCUUCGUGCUCGGUGAGCUCAUCACCUCUCGCACAAUGUACGGUAGUUCAACUGGGUUUACUUCAGUACAAGUUCUUGGACUGACAAAAAAACAAUCAUUCCCAGAGAUGAAAACAGCGAUCAAUCAAGCAUAUAUCUGAUUUUAUCUCCAUAAUGUCAGUUUAAAAGUGAUCCUGCUUCAAUCCUUCGAACUUACAAUAUCAAAACCGGCAACCAGCAACUUGGAACUAGGGGGAAUCGGCCUCAUGGAUUGAGCUAAAAUAUUUAAGGUGGAGGGCCUCCAGUCAGGUGAAAACAGAGUCUAUCUCUCAGAGAUGCAUCUUUAAUGUCGCCUACUCCACAUGUUUGCUGGGGCCAUCCUGACUCACGAUGGUGAGACACUGUCGUCAUGUCCUGAACUUCAUCUUCCUUGUCGAUGACGAUAUUGUGAAGAAGGCAACAAACCAGAAUAAUCCUCGGCAACCUGUGUCUGUCGGGUCUCCACAUGACUCCACGGAUGAUCCUCCAAGAGUCCUUCAACCUUGCGAGUGCGCUCUCUGCCACCCCUGCAGCUGCAAUGAGCCGCCUGUUGAACUCGGAUCUUGGUUCAGAAAAUUCUUUCCCUUCAUAUGGCGUGAUGAGAUAAGGAAGCAACUGAUAGCCUGAGCCCCCGACAACAUAUUCCCUCACCUUUGAUCCAUCCAAAAGCUCGAAUGUGUUCCCAUUCAAUCUCUGUCCCUGGUUGCACAGUUGAUAGAAGCCUGAAUUCUGAAAGACUGACCAUCUGUUCAUUUUACCCCCUGGCCAUCCAGUGACUACGUCUUGAAAUCUCAUAUCUGGGUCCACUAUUGCUUGCAAGACCAUACUGUAAUGCUUCUCGUGGUCGAGCCACAAGGUACUAUUGGGGUCCGAUGUGGACAAGUUCAUCAAGAUGUGAGUAAAAGCAAUGGCACCGCAGCAAUUAGGCAAGCCGCACAUCUUCUCGAACUUGGCUUUUGUGUUUGCUGUUUCCGUUGUAGUGGAGGGCCAACGUAGGUGAUGACUUGCCCUCUCUUCCAUGGCUUCAAUAAAACGCCAAGUAGCUUGGGACACAGUUGAGUGGUUCAGGCCAAAUGAAUCUCCUACGGUUAUGAGUGACUCUCCAGAGCUCAGCCUUCUCAAAGCUAUGGCUACUUGGUCAUGUAAAGAUAAAGGCCUGCCAUUUCUGAAUACUAAGUUCGCCGGCUUGGCUGUAAUAUCUUCCUUUACAAGUGAACAUAUGUAAUCAAAGGUUCUCUUGGAAAUUCCAAAAACGGAUUUGAACUCAUCCAGUCCAUUCUUUGAAGGAAGAUGACCUGCAAAGAAUUGGGUUAAAAAAGAUAAAGUUGAAACUGUCAAACCACAUCAGGCUUUUAUUCUGCUAAUAGCAUUAGUUUCACUGUUGCUGCAGCAAACAUCAUCAAAAUACAAGGAUAAGAUCGUGAAGCGAGAGGAAAGUUUCUUUAUAUAUAUACAAUGGAAAAAAAGUAUCUGAAAAGAAGGAAACAGGAGGUCCUUAUUUUCUGUCAGGAAGAUGAGACCAAAUCCAGACAUAUGUGCACCAAAUUCAGAGAUCAAGCAGUAUACUUUUGUUUGCUACAAAACAUGCUGACAGAAACUAAGAAAUGCUUUCAUUGACUAUCAAUCUCACUGAACUCAAGAGGGUGGUUUUGAGAUGUAUGUAUCACCCCAGAAGCUCUAAUCGAUUUGAUCUGACCAAAUAACAGUAUCGACAUUUUUGAUGGAACCUGAUUUAUAAAUUACCACCUCAAGCUGAUGAUGCCACUCUGUAUACUUCACACAUCAGACGGUCACAUAUCUCAUUACAACAAUGACAACCCUUGUUUUAUCAUCCCCCGACAUACUUUAGGGAAUGGAGCAGGCGCUAUUCAAGAAAAUAUGGAGAUUUUGAUGAAUUUUUAAUUGUCGGAACUACGAUUUUCUCUCCAUGCUACCAUUUGACUAAAUCAUCAUGUCUUUUUGAAUGCUUUAUCCCAGAAUAAAACAUGAGCUGCUGCCAAAAUCUUUUAAGAAAAACUGGUAUCAAAUCCUUUUUCAUCAUCUGGAUUCAUAUAUAACCUAGGUUAUCCUUAACCUUUACCCAAUCAAUUUACAAAGAAUGGGAAAUGUUUGUGAACCUUCAAGCUAUGUUUUCUUCUUUUUCUGCUGAGAAACAUUUAGGCAUAUUAAAGACAGAAAUUAACACAACUGUAAGCCUAACUGUAGUAGGAAUGAGGUGAUUCAAAUAAGCUAAAGAAAAACAUCCUGCUGAGUUACUUCCUAAUCAAUAACGAUUUCAAAAAUGAAUGGGGAGCGUUCUCGGGAAAUAUUAAGUGCCUAGACCAAGACUUGAGCUAAGAAAUAGUACACAGCAUAUUGAAAUUGAAGAGCUAAUAAUUGACUACUGAACCAAGCACAAUGGAGGAUGCAGAAUCGUAAGUUAGGAAAAGAUAUAGUAGCAUCUUGGUGAAAGUUUAAAAAACAUCUACAUCAUAUGCAAGGAUGGCUACAUGUGCAACACCAUUCUUAAUAUAUAGAAAUCGGAAAGUGGAGCCGAAGCAAAGCACCCAAAACCAAAUCCAUGAUUCAUUUUGACAACUUCAAGCAAGAUAUCUCCAGGAUGUCUUGAUGCAUACUCGAACAAAAGUUGAGUUUGGCCAGCUCUUUUUCUAGAUCAAUGGCAAAAAUAGCUUCCACAAGUAUUGGUUAUCAAAGACAAAUAGAUGGAUGACAUUUCUGCUUGAACCGGCCAAUGGCCAGUUAUAUUAAAUUUUGAGAACUUGCAUGGGAUGAAAAAAGGACAGAUUUAAGAGCAAUAAUCAUGAUGAUGAAGAGCCCUACAUUCUAAUUCAAUUGAUAUAUUUGGGCAUCAAACAUAGGGAUCUAAAAGCAGAUAUCCUAAAAAGAGUAAGAAGCAGCAUGUCCCAGAGAGUGCAACAUUCAUUAAUUGGCGAGAACCAUAGGACAGUCUGUGCACUGUUUCUCUUUCUGUUUUUUGUCAUGAAAUUAUAGACCUUUUAUUCAUUUGACAGUGAACUAGUGCUCAAAAAACUACUGACCAAAACAGAAAAUUUUCUAUUAGAUUAUUCUCGGAUGGAGGUAUCAUUAAAGACCAUUGUAGAGCACUUGUUCAGCUCUGUGAAGUUCACACAGUUACUUUGUUUAUAACAGGAAAAGAAAGGAGUUCUAAGCAACAGAUAUGAUAUAACAACCGAGAUCUUCUUCUUGAGCGACUAUUUGACUUGCAGUUGACUCCAGAACACAACAAAAUCCAAUGAUUUUACAAAUGAAAUGCAGAAUUUCUCUUUACAUCAUACUCUUAUUCACUUUACCUUACACUCCCCCAGAGUUCACCUGAAAAGGGUACCGAGAUAGUAAUAUGACUUUAUUAUGCUUAAAUAAGCUGCUACUGAAUUUAUGAACUCAGAACUGUCACAUUUCUACAGACCUCCUACGUUCCCUCUCUUUUGCAGAGCGACAUCCGUAUGAAUGAAUAUGAUGUAAAUUUCUCCAGAGUCAUCUUAUUAUCUGACAUUUUUUCAGGCUUUUUCCCUUGUUUAAAGAAGUUAAUUCAGACUUAAUCAAUGGCAUUGCAGAAAAGGACGGCUCAGAUUGCAAUAUAAUUCAAUGCAGAGCCUGAUCAGUGGUUUUUCCUUGCAUUUGAAAGAUCAAGCAUCUCACUUUCAGUCACGUGUGAAUGUUCAAAAGAGAGAUAGAUAGAUAGUCAAGCAGAAACGUCUGCUGAAGAAAAAGGUUUUUUUAAAAAAAAAAAAAAAAUCUUUUUAUGUUUAUUUUUUCAAGAUCAAGAAAUGUGGCAUUGACCGAGUUGGAUACAAUGACAGUCGAUUCGUUAAAUUGAUUUCCACAUAAAAGGAGCAUGUCAAUCCCAUUACAAAAUCUCCGCGAGAGCAGAAUGAAGAUAUCAUCAUGUACAGCGAACGUAACAAAGAAAACUAAGACAGCCAAAGGCAUCGUCCUAGCAAACAAUAACCGAAAAUAAAAAAUAAAAAAAUCAGAAAGAAAGAAACAGCCAGAAGACACAUGCGAUGGAGCAAUAACAGUAGAUAGAGAAUACCAUUGCUUCUUCUGCAGAACUCGCCAAACCAAUCUGCAGACUCCUCCUUCUGAGAAGACCCAGAAGCAGAAACAUCCGCUUCACUCCUCUUCUUCAUACUCUCUCUCUUCCUCUUCUUCCUCAGGUUUCUGCCAGGACCCAUGAUCUGACAGACACCCAAUUCAGCCCAAGACUCGAAAUUUAAUGACUUCCCGAUAAAUCAUAAUCAUUGACGAAACAAAAGAGAGACUCAUGUCACGCCACGACGAAUACCCAUCACACACGACACCGGGUGGGACUCAGAAUCCAUUACCUUUCAAUGCACAAACUUCAUGGGGCGACGGGGGCACUAACAGCGAGGCGCAUCAUGCAAGGGGAGGGAACUUUUUUCUAUGGUAAUCAAUGAGGCGCGAGUGCUUCGUGCCCCGUGUGUUUCGAGCAUGCAAGAGUAGAGGGAGGGAGGCAACAAGGAAAAGAAAAACCAAAAAACGGAACUGCAGAGAGGAGAAAAGAAACAAGGACUGGGAUAGAUAGAGAGAGAAAGAGAGAGAGCUUUCUUAUAUAUCGGGGCAACCGGGAGCAAUCUAAGCAAAGCACGCACAGGUUGGUUCGCAUUUGUUUAGGACAAUGCGGCAGGAGCUUCUUUCCUGAAAAUUAAAAAAGCGAUCUUUAACGGUGACUUUCAGAAAAAGAAUCGCUUUUUGUUUGCCUUAUAAACUUUUUUCUACUGCGUAUGGAAGGGGAGAUGGGAGAAAAAAAAAGUGAAAUACUCAACAAGACAAAUCUGAGGAAAGCAAAUUCCAAGCUCGCUUCAGUUAAUUAAUUGAAAAAAGUAUUAAAAAGCAUACUCUUUUUUUCUUUUUUUUCCUCUUUUUGUGAAAAGCAUACUUCGCUACUUACAUAUCUUUAUUUCUUGCAAAUGACCGUGUUAACAACACGAGCGCCUCUUCAGCACUGGUUAAGCAUAGUUAAUGAGGGAUUAUUUAAUUUUGAAAAUACUGAUUUUGUAUAUCAUGAGAGCAGCACUGAAAAUUGCAACAUUUUCUUAUUUGGCUGUUUACCAAGGGCUUCUAUCCACUUUCUAACAAAAUCCUUUUGGAAAUACCAUUCGCAUACCUCUUAAAGGAACCCUCGACUAGGGGUGUGCAUGGUCCGGGCGGGCGGUUCCCAACCUAGAAUCGGGCCGAAAAAUUGGAAUCGGGAUCCACCCGUUUGUUGCAUGGAUUCACCUGGGAACUGGACCGCCGAUCUGGUCCGGUUCCCGGGUGGAUCGGAACCGAUCUUAACAUGAAACAAUUUUGGUUUUCAAUAUAGAACGACUAUGUGACAUCAAAGCAAGUCAAAGAAAGAAAAACCAAAUUUAAGUACGUGAAGAUGCGGACGGUAGGAGAAGUAAACGCAACGAAUUUACAAAUACGGUCCAGGCGGUUCCCGGGUACUUUGCACACCUCUAGAAGGAAGUGAGAUAAGAUCUAAGGUUUCUUUUAGUAAUUUUUUUUUUUAAUAUUAAAAAGGUUCCGGUCGGGUUCGAGUGGGCGGGUGGUUGGAUCCGCCCAUGGAACUGGGAACAAAACCGGUUCCCUCAAGAACCGCCGGCUCCGGGCGGUUUCGGUCCGGUUCUGGGUAGUCCGGGCGGUUCCUAGGUAUUUUGCACACCCCUACCCUCGACUGAAAAGACUAAAUUGCUCGCCCCUCUUCAGGGUUUGGGCAAUUGGGUUUUAAGUUGAUUUUGAGUGUUUUGGAUUGGUGUGAUUGUUUAAGAUUUCAUAAUUGCCGAUUUUGGCAAGAAAAUUGUGUUUUCGUAAAUAGGAGCACAAAAAUAAUUGAUAUGAAUGUGCAAAUCGGUCUUCAAAGUUAAAACUGGGGUAUGAAAUUCUCGUUUUUAAAAAUAGAGAUACGCAAGUGAUCCUUGAAUGAAAGACGAGGCAUGUUCUCCAAUCAAAUUGUCAAGAUAUGGGCGAUUUUCCUAAAGAAAAUGCGAUGAAAUAAUUCAGAUUUCACCUUGGAGUAGAUGAUGAGAUCCUGAGGGACUUUUGAUACCAGAAGAACAAGAGAAGCUAAACCCACAAAGAUAUACAAUGGUAAGAAUACCUCGAGUCUCGGUUCUUAAUAUAUGAUGACUUUGUGUUUGGGGAAUAGGCCAUUUAUAAUCGAGAAUGUGUGUGCAGCUUGAAUUUUGUCUUUCCAGGCAUUAAUUAUAUUACUGGCUUGUUGUUUGCCAUUAAUGGGCAUGUCAACUCCAAAGCUCAUUUUCAGAUUGGAUUGUAGAGUAUAUAUGAUUGGAUCUAUUUAAUUUUUCAGAUUUUUUCGACAAUACCUAUGCCAUAAUUGAAAAUGACUAUCUUUUUCUUAUUUUCAUAAAUGAGAAAACCGAAUCGCACGAGACAAAAGAAUAAAGGCAUCUUUUUUAAUGUAGUUCCCUCGGUACGAUUGUUCUUUCUAGAAGAGUUUUCAAAUAAUUUCGUCAAUACAAAAUUUUUUGAAUGGCGAUUCAUCUUGAAUCUUUGAAAUAAUUCACAUGGACCUUGCUUUCUAAUGUUCACGAAUCUGGUCGUGACAUUUCACUCUAGGACAAUAACAGUGAUGUAAUUAUGUUAGGCUUAAAGUGGUCAACAAAAGCAGCAUUUGGUAAUGAGAUCGGUUCUUAACCUCCAUGUUCUUUCUGUUGAACUGAUGAGCGCCAAUGUAAGUAAAUAAAUAGAGCAGGCCCGUACGCUCUCAAGCCUUUUCUUGGAGACUCCAGCUCUAGGUCAGUAUUGGGAACGUGUUUGGGCUUGGGCUUGGGCUUGGGCCGAUCCGUCAAGGCCAUUAUUAGGUCCGAUAUGCCACUGAUCUCGAAGUGCGCUAGAUAAACAAAUUGAAAAACGCGUCAUGGAUCGAUAGACUCCGUUCGCGUGAAUCAAAUCGGGUUAAGCAAGGAUUUUAGCUAAUGUUUGGAGACAAAGUUAACGUGUCGCCUUUAGGUUAAAUGGAAAGAAGCCGUUCUCUCUUUCCUUUGUUCUUUUGUGCAGCACGGUUAGGUGCUGUCCUGGCCAACUCGCGCAAAUCUAUUACCAUCCAAACCGACAUUCGACGAGGCCCCGUGAUGCAUGGCUGGGAAGUCUAGUGCUUGAAUCAUGGAAGACUCGAUUUGUAUGCGUGAGCUUGGCUCGGCCAGAUCGUUACGGCUUCAUUGACAAACUUGUAUGCAUUGUACGCUUUCCCGAUCGAGCACGUGGCGAAGACGACUGUGAGAGCGCAAUUUGGCGACAGAAGAAGAAGAAGAAGCCGACCACAUCGAUUCUCGAUGCUCCUCUACGAAGUUAUUCACUUGAUAGUCGAUGAUUCCCCCAUUUUCAAAGAGGAUUGACAACCUAGCCAAAAUUUCGACAGUUUUCCAAGAAAAUGUAUAUUUCUCAUUUUAAUAUGAGCAUAUAGUUAGAAACUAGAGGCGGUUAUUGAACCCGACUCAACUCGGAUAGCUAAUCGAGCCUAACUUGAGUAUCCAAACUCGUCCACAUAAAAAAAUUCAAAAAUUGAAAACAACAACGUAGAGUUCGUCGGCUGGGUUGGGCCCGUGUCAAAAAUGAGUGGGCUGAGCUUCAAUGUAAGAAUCUUGACCCUGCCACCGUGGGCCGAGCGAGCUUGGGUGAGCUGAACGGUUCGCCCAGCUUGAUAUCAUCUCUAUUAAGAAGUGCUUUGGGCGCCGGUUAGAACGCGAGGAGAUUACACUUUACUAAUUGCGAUAUUUUAAAAAUGGAAGAUGUAGAUUACAAGAUAGAUCAUAUUUCCAAGAUUAUAAUAUAAUGUGGCUUGAUAAGUGCACUAAGACCGUUUAUCGAUAUUUCCUAAAUUUGUAAUGAAAAAUCCCACAUUAAGUUAACAUAUAUAUUAAUACGUUGAGACUCAAUAAAUAAGAAAUUAAAAUUUUCGAUUUUGUGUGUGUGCGUGCGCGCGCUUUUAGUUAGCUUUGUAAUUUUUUAACUUUGAAGUAGCUUGGUUUUCAAACGAUCGGCUAUUUUAAGCUGAAUAAAUACAUUCAGCAUGUAUAAAGAUGGGCCCAAAAAUGGCCUUCAUGUACGAGCAAUUGAUUCGGCCCAUGGGCCUAGUAAUCGCAACUGGUGCUUCAUGGUGCAGCUACUGAGUGGUAAUAAUACGGGGAUAUAAUAAAUCAACACUCAAACAUCCUUUCCUUUCUUAAAAGUAAGGACAUCGGGGUGGGGAACGGACCAUCCAAAGGCUCAUGAAAUGUCUUGCAAACCCCAUUAACUGAUUAGGUUCGGGACUUUGGUUUGUGCAACUAGGUCUGACACGAAGCAAUUUGCACUCAAUUUGUGGAAUUUCAACGAAUGGCAUUGAUUUCCUCAUCCCAUGCCAUUUGCGCAAUUGGUACGUAGGGCCUGACAAGAGGUCAACAUGUGAAUAUCUCGCACUCCAAAUACGAAUUAUAUAUUUGGAUGUGAAAUUAUUGUCCAUAUAGGAAUAAAAAGGUGUGGGGGACCUCAACUCUUUUCUCCUCCAUCUUGGAAACCUCAAAUUUUAUACUCUAUUCAUAUAUAGUAGAUAUAUUGUCAAGCUUAUCACAACUGGAAAUAUUUUUUUCCCUAAAUUUGGGUUUAGUGGACUGAAUUAAUCACAAUCAAUGAUUACAUUAUUUUCAUGUGGGCCCCUCUUAUGGGUGUCACAAAACCAACUGCUGUAAUUAUAUCUAAUUCACGGAUCUCAAUUUAAAUAAUACUGUUUCCAUGCUGUUCGACAUGGUAAUCAAUAAUUAUUGCGUUGGGGCGCAACUCCUUAAAAAUGCAUCCCCUUUUGUCUCAUCUUGCGACCAAUCGAGAUAACUUGCGUCAUAAAGAGGUUCUUCUUUGAUCUAUGGACCGACGUUUCGGUUCAGUUCUAGUAAACAAAGAAUGGUUAUCUCCCGCAUGUCUCCUACUUCUUUAAGUUUCUAGCAAUAUGAACUCGAAUUAUAAAUGGUAAAUUAUUACCAGAAACCCUAAGGUUGGCAUAGUUGGUCAGGCAUCGAAUGCUUUCCACUUUAAGAAAGGGAGGUUACAUGUUUGGAUUCCACAAACUGCGUGCAAACUGCUACGCAUCGAGCGACCUGCUUAGGCCAAAAUAAUUGAACUUAACCGAUUCUUGAGGUUGAUAUCAUGCUUCACGAAUCUCUGAACAGGCUGAUCUCCGAGCCCAUUUCCCCGAAUUAUAAAAGCGAAAUUAUAGUGACAGGUCUUCACACGCUUGACAAAUGUCGAUAACAAUGCCACAUGAUCUGGAUAAAGCGAAAAAGUCGAGCUCGAAGCUUCGUGCCAACCGGGCCGCAACGAACCUUUUUACCCGCUCUUUUGAAACCAGUAAAGCGCUCUUUCCUCGCGCCCGCCAAUCUUCGCCAUGCAUCCUCCUCUCCUGCCCAAGCAAAAGGCUCUCUCCUAACGAGUCAAGUCAAAAUUUCGUCCAUCAAAAUCUACCGGAUCUUCCUCUUCGGUGGCGUACAAGAAACAAACUUGGCUAAUGCCAAAAUCAUAAUGACAAACUAGACUGCUUUUCACCCUACUUUCUCAUCCUGCCUUUUCACCCCUUUUUGCUAGGAAUACGAAAUGAUGUCCGUCACUCAUGGAUUUCCCUAUUGUUGUCCUGUUUCUGGGACCCUUUGUCAAACAAUGAAGCGGUAAAAUCAAGCUUUUAGCCUGCAUAGAUUGAUUUAACCCAUAAUAGUUUGCACGCAAUUAAGGACUUUCGAAUCCAUAAUCUUUGAUUUUUGAGCUGAAUUUUUUUGGAAGUCCAAACCAAUUGUGCCGAUCUGAGGGCUAUAAACACUAAAUACAUAAUUGUAAGGCCGAUUUACCACGAUUGUUUCACACGAAUGUUGAUAUGGAUUCGGAAGUUGGUGUUUCAAACUAGUGCCUUCUCACGGACAUCCUCUCUAUCCACCAGCCUUAGCAUGUCAAGUUAGAAUCAGGAAUUGAGCACAGCGUGAUCUAUAAUUUGGAUAGGAGAUAUGUUUUAACAUCCUUUGGAAAUGUCGGAAGGCAAUGAAUUAUACUAAUUUGGUUGGUCAAGGAUAGGUAAUUUCACUAAAUCACGAGAUUUGAGCGUGUUUCCAUUGGUCUUUUUUCCUCUCUCUUGGAGACUUCAAAUUUAAGCUCAUCCUAUGCAUGAUCGAGACACUUCCAAGCCUCUCACAAUUUGGAAUUCUUCUUCACCUAUUGGACACCUUUUCUUAGAUUCAGUAGAGUGGAUUAAUCAUAAACAUCAAUCACACUAUUCCCAUGGGAGUUCCACAAAGACCACAACUCGUGAAUCCUGGUCCAUACAAUAAUUUCCCCCUCUCCAUUUCGCUAGACAAUUAUUGCGCAGUGACGGAAAAUCGACCAUGAAUAUCCAGAUUCGAGGAAUUCAACUCUUCGCGCACUUCUCCCCUCUAAUCUCCUCUCUUGUGAGGGGAGUCGUGAUAGACUCGCAACAUUGAGAGGUCUCGCUUGAUCUAUGAACCCAAGGUUCAGUGCAAUCCUAAUAAGCAUAAAAUGGUCCUCUUGCGCAUGAUCCUUGCAACUCUGACGUUCUAGAAGUAAAAACUAGAACUACAUAUGGUAACUUAUUACUCCAAGGUUGGCACGGUUGAUUAGAGCAUCGGCGGAGUUCCAGCUCAAGAAAUGAAUGUCACACACUCAAAUCCUACGAAUGCUUGCAAAUUGCACUGGAAUAAGGCCACCUACACUAGCCAAAGACACGAUGAAUUUAACCUUAUUCACAGGGCUUGCACAACGUUCCAUAGGCCUCAAGGUAACUAAACUCCUUUGUCUUAGCGCCAUGCAUCCUCCAUCCCAAGCAAGGCUCUCUCAACGGGUCUAACCCAAUUUCGUCCAUCAAGAUCUUCCUGAUCUUAUCUGGUGGAGGAGAAAAUAAACAAACUUUGACUUACCCAAAAAGCAUAAUGACAAAUUGGACCGUUGAUUCCGCUCUUUUCACCCUUACUUUCUCAUCCUGCUUUUUCUUAACCCAUCUUUACUAGGAUCGCAGCAAAGACAAUGAUCCUCCAUCGAUUUCACUAUUGUUGUCUCGACCCUGAAACCCCCUCGUCAGAAAAGAUCUUAUUAAGGCCGGAUAAGAUCAAGAGUAAUCGGUGCUUCGUAUAUAAACCAUAAAUGCGUUUGGCAAUCCCUACUUGACUACUCGACGCAUAUAAAGAAUGGCCGCGGUUUUCCAAUAUACCGCUUUUCUCACGCUUACAUGAUCGACACUUGGAAUUUCGAAACUUUCCCCAUUAUAUAUGCUUAAUAGUGUCUCCAUGAUAACAACUUAGAAAAUUAUCCAACCAAUUCUAGAUUUAUUGUACAUGUAAAUUCAAUCUUAAACUUUUGAGUUUUGUUGAUUAGGAAUCUUUGUGCGAAAUUGGGAAAAGUACAAAAAAAGUCAUAAACUUUUUGUAUUGGUACUAAUUCAGUCGUAAACUUUUUAAUUGGACCAAUUUAGUCCUAAACCUUUUUACAUUGAUACUAAUUCAGUGAUUUAAGCUGGGAAUUGCUGACAUGGCCACCAACGGUCUUAUGUGAUGCCAUGUGGACAAAUUUUAUAAUUUUUUAAAUUAUUUAUUUUCUUUUUUUUUUCUUUUCUCCUUACCCCUUGGUCGGCGACCUUCGUGUCCUCGCCUGUGGCUAAGGAGGGCGUGGAGGCCCUCGCCCUUGGUCAGCGAGGGUUUGGGUUUUCGCUUGGAUUUGGGUGGGGGCUGACGCCCUCACCUGUGCUCGGUGAGGGUGUGGCAGCCCCCCUUGCCAGUGGUUGGCAAGGGCCUGGGGGCCCUUGCCUCGACUAGCUUGUGGUCAGUGAUGGUCAAUCGGCGACCUCAUUGGCCAAGGGGUAAGGAGACAGGAAAAAGUUAUUAAAAAAAAAGAGAAAAAAGGAAAAAAAUAAUUUAAAAAAUCUGAAAAAAUAUGAAAAAUUAUAAAAUUUGUCCAAGUGGUGCCACAUAAGACUACCGACAGCCAAGUCAGCAAUUUUCGGCUUAAAUUUGCCGGAAGGACUAAAUUGGUAAUGAUGUGAAAAUAUUUAGGACUAAAUUGGUCUAAUUAAAAAGUUUAGGGCUGAGUUGGUACUAAUAGAAAAUGUUUAAGACUAUUUUGGUAUUUUUCCCUGCGAAAUUUUAAUGCAACCCCUUGCAAUCGAUUUGACAAGACGAUCUAGUCAUUGUUGGUUUUUCUAUGUGACACCUUGCUAGGCCGACGCUUUUCGACGAAAGUUGAUCAGAUCAUAUCGAAAUUUCAUGUGAAGAUUUAAAAUUAAAUUGACAAAAAUUUAAAAAAUUUAAAACUUAACUGGCAUUUAUAUAAUAUAUUUCGGAUCGGUCGAGUCAUUUCCCCCCUUAACAAGAAGCUUGGCAUAAUUCAGUCGUCACAUGGCGUUCAUCCUACGACCCCAAGAUUUCCACGCACUAAGCUCAAUCUUGACGGCGGCGAAAGGGGGACCAAUUAGGGAUUUAACAGCAAAUUGGGCAUUAAGAGUGGGGGGGAGGGGGUGGGAUUAAAAAAAUAGGGGAAGGGGCCAAGCAGCAUUACGAAAGAUUUUGCCGUGAAUUGACCUACGGGAGAUAAGGUCUCGCACUCUUGCGCACCAUCUUAGUGCAUGGGAUAAGCUUACGUAGGCCUCUAGAUAAUGUCGCUCCACUAAGGGUUUUGAGAAGAAGAAUAUAAAAAAAAGAAUCUCUGCAAAUUUGUCGGAUGCUCCUUUCAAUGAUCUCAUCAUUGUGAGUUACGUCCCGGCGAGUUCUUUGAAUCCUGAAAGUAGUAAGUCUUAUUUUAAUCGAAUUAGAAAGACAAGACUGAACCUUAAAAACUUAUAUCAGUGAUCUCGAUUUUUGGAACAAAAUUGGAUUCUUGAUUUUCAAACACUGGAAAAGAAAUCUUCAACUUCAAGUUUAGCCCCUCUACUAAUUUUUUUUGGUUUUUUUAAUUAAGUAUAGGUGUGGAGACUCGACUAUUUGAAAAUCCAUGAGUACCCUAUAAGCUCAUGAAACAGUUAAACUUGGACAUUUGGCCUUUGCAGUUUGCUUAAACAUAAAAUAAUUUGCAUGCAAUUCAUGAAAUUCAAGCAAGUCACCUCUAGUUCCUGAGUUGGGAAUCUCCUCGCUUCCCUCUCUUAAUUUGGGUUCUGUCCUAUAAUAUUUUCUCCAAACUUGUGCUUGGAAUAUGUUCAUAGACUAGAUUUUUUAUUAGCUUGAAGAUGGGAAACCUAAUUUCUUUUACAAUGAAAUCUCAUUUAUUUAAAUUUUGUUUUAUGACAUUAUCUCGUCAAGAUAUGGUGGCAUCUCCUUGCAGCAUAACAUUAAAGUUUCUAGAGGAGAUUUUUAGGACCCCCUGAUGAGAUUUCUUUAGCCUCCAAUGGAAUUUGGCAUUGAAGGUUAAUCACUCGAGGCUUUUCAUAACUUCAAAUUUCAGCUCAUGAGUCGCUUGCUUGCACUUCGAUUUAUUCACUUAAGCUUCUCGUUCGUUACAAACGAUCAAUCGAAUGCUCUCGAAUUUCAGUACUUUUAACAUGUAAUUCGAGAGUCAUGAUAAAAUGAAGAGAUAAAUUCUUGAUAUCAAGUAGAUCACUAAGUCGAUUUCGUACCAUUUUAUGAUUCAAGGACUCAAAAUGGAACCCUGCCUCAAAUCUCAAUGGUCCUUUCACGAUCCUCGCUCAAAGAAGUAACUCGGGAAGUGUCACCAGAUUGCAUAAGCUAAUGCGCGUUUCAUCACCGAUGAUGUCCUUCCGCGAUAGACUAGCAAGCACCCACCAGGGCGUGGACCGUGCAACAGCCUACGAUCCGUACGUCCUUUUCGACGGCCAUUGUUUAGUAUUAUCAGAUUAGCUGGUAGAAGCUUCGUUCUUGGCCCUCUCGCCCUCGCCAAGCCGCACGUUAGCAAAGCACUCGGGAUUCCUCCCCCACUAAAAUUCGUCCCCCCUCGAAAGGGGAGCCCCCUCGCAGCGUCGACAUCCCGACCGCUAGUCUUUUCUUUGGGAGCACUUAUCAGAGGAGUCGGGCAUGAGAUGAUGAUCGCGACUUAUCGAAGACCAUUCUCUAGAGCCACUAACUUUAACUUUAGCAAAAGGGGACGGGAUCACUACCACGACUAUAUUAUAAAGUAAAUGAUGAGGGAGCUUGGUGGAGCAUGAGAUAAGAUAUGGUGAUAAGAUGGGUGUGAACUAUUGGGCGAUUUUGGCUCCUCUGUGAAGACUUGCUUCCACGCGCACGUUGCCCUCUAGCAGUUUGCUAGAUUACUCUUUUGCGUUUCGUUGGAUGGAAUAAGUCAAAAGUGGAAUCAUCCACGCUUCCUCCAUUAAGGAGAAAGGAGAAAAAGAAGGAAGAAGAAGACGAGAGUAAGAGUUUUCAAUUGGGAAGCAAGCGAAACGAAGAUCUGCAUUGCCCCUAAAAAGAAAGUUAGCUGAUAAGGAUCCAUAUGUUUCGCCAAAAAUGUUACAUUUCUAGAAAUUAGCUUUCGGGAAGUCAUUUUUUCAAUAAAAAUGACAAUAUUCUUUGAUAUAUGGCUAAAAUUUGAGAAACGACUUAAAAAUGUUUGUUAUUAUUUAAAAAGGAAAAUCUGAUUUGAUUUUUUUAAAUAGACAUACAUUAUUUGGGCACUAAUGACUUGUGCACAAGUAGUCAAUGAACCAAGCACAUGAAGUGAGAUCUUAAGUUCGGGUUGGUACUAGGCCUCGAGCCUAGCCUCAAUGGAUCUGAGCUUGAGUGUCAAGACUUGAUCCUACUUGGGCCUUCAUGGACUCAAGCUUGACCACAAGGGAUUUGAGCACCGAUUGGCUUCUUGAGCUUGGGUGUCACGGACCUAGGCAAGGGCUGGGGUCUCGAGCUUAGUCUCAAUGGACCCAAGCUCAAGUGCAUAGAAUUUAAGCACGGGCAUUAUGGUUUCGAGCUUGAGUGUCAAGCACCUGGGCACGGGCACCGAGGUUUCAAGCCCAAUCUCAAUGGAUCUAGGCCAAGUGCAUGAGACUCAAGCCUUGGCCUCAAUGGAUCCAAGCUUAGGCACGGGCACAAGCAUCCGGGGCUUAGCCUCAAUGAAUAUAAGGUAACAUGCUAGGGAUCUGGGCAUGGGAUUUGGGGGCCAUGCCUUAUUUUUGUGGAUUUAGGCUCGCCUCAAUGGAUCGAGGUCUGAGCAUCGGGAACCCAACCAACGGUACUAGAGUCCUAGGCUCGACCUUUGUGGACAUGAGGCGAGUGUCAUGAGCCCCCACCUUUGUUGACUUGGGCUGGGCACUGGGGUUUCAAGCUUGACCUCUUUGGAUUGAAGCUUAGCCUUGAUGGACCUUAGUGAACCCAAACCCGACCCUGGCCUAUAAAUCCAAGCUUGCUAUGAAGGGCUAGGAACAAGUGUUGGGGAUCUCGUGCCCAAGUGCAGAGUUUUGAGUUCGAGCAUUGAUAUGUAUGUUUAAAAAAGGGAAAAAACCACCAAAAAUCUCAAAUUUUGCCCAAAGUGAUAAAUUUACCCCAAACUUUUUUUUUGUGACAUGAAAAACCCUGAAAUUUGCUAAUCGUGACACAUUUACCCAAAACUUUUUUUUGUGAUACAAAAACCCUGAACUUUCAUUUGUAUGACACAUUUACCCUAAAUCAUAGGGGCAUUUUGGCCUUUUUACUCUCUUUUUUUCUUUCUUCUUCUUCUUCUUUCUUCCCUCCACCGGCCAUGGCGGAGGGAAGCCGGUGUCGGGCGGCCCUAGCCAGCCUCGGCGAGGGCGACCCUCGCCUGACGUCAGCUUCCCUCCGUCGGCUCUGCUAUAGCCGGCAGAGGGAAGAGAGAAGAAGAAUAAAAAGGAAAAACAUAAAGAAUAAGACAAAAAUGCCUUUAAUGGAGUAAAUGUGUCACAUUUGCAAAGUUUGGAGUUUUUCAUGUCAAAAAAAAAAAAUUAAGGUAAAUUUGUCACUUUGGGCAAAGUUUAGGAUUUUUGGUAGUUUUUUCCCUUUAAAAACGGACUUCUGCCUUUUAUAAAAACAGAAAAUCAUCUUCUUGAAUUUGAGUAAUUGCCUUUCAACUAAUUUUUUUUUUCUUUUAAAACGAUCCAAACACUCAAAAAUGAGGAAAAUAUUUCCCAUAAAACCAAUGGGCCCUCAAUCUACCCUCCUCAAUCUAAUACUAGCUUAUCUUGAACCAAGUGCGGUAUGGACAACUCUAGAUGGGAACAUGAAAAUUCCCACGAACAUUGGGAAAAAGAAAAAAGAGAGAGAGAGGAGAGAUGAAGUAACAUAUCCAGUUCUUUCACAGAUUUUAUAAAAGGUAACGGCAAAGGUUCUCCGCCAACAUCGGCGAUUUUUACGAUGUCAAAAGUAAGUUAAGAGUUAGGAUAACUGAACAGUUGAGCAUGUCCAUGUGAUGAAUGAUGCUCGUACAGAAAGGACUUCCACCAUCAUUAUUCCCUAGUAGACCUACUAAAAAUCAAUGUCUGGUCCCUCCCUUUCCCCUCGAAUCAUUCCAAGCCUCAAACCGCACGAAUCACUCCAAGCCAGGAGGAUCAGAAUAUUUCUUCAAACCCUAAAAGCAUGCCUCUGCGACCGUCUCACAAGUACGCUGGUGCAACAUUUAGGGCCGCUCUUCCUUUUCUUCACCACUUUAUGAUAAAGUAAUGUAUCGAUACUUCAUACUUCAUGAUAAAGACCAUAACACACUUAUAACCAGCAUCGACACGCGGGGCACAAGUGUAAAGAUAUAAUACGCAUGGAUUCUGCAUCGCCAUCGCAUGUGAUGUACGCAUAUCUGCUCGAUCCUCAAGGCCACGCGAUCACCGACUCAACACUAAGUAGUGAGGUCCUACUGCUUGCGAAUGUUCUGCCACGUAGUUUCCUACGCACAGGUGUGCACACAAAAUGCAUAACACGUACAAAGAUGUAUACAUCUACGAAUGGUAUUUGGUUCACGACCCCAUGCGGCAAUUUUUUAUAAGUUCACCCAUCACUUGCAUCUGAUCUAUCCCGCAAAUAUACCUGUUUGUACAAUUUGAUUUCACAUAAUCAAAAGAGCCACACAGACGGAAGGAGAGAGAGAGAGAGAGAGAGAGAGAGAGAGAGAGAGGCUUACAUAUAUUAAGCAGAGAUAAAAAUAAGUGGAGUGGCCAAUAAACCAGUGGAAUCCACGUCACGCGGGUUCCUCUUUUGGCAAUUCCUUCAAAGCCUUCCACUCCACUUUCGAGAGCCCUGAAGCGAGGAGCCACCAUCCCCCUUUCUUUGCCUUUCCCAUAACCUUUUCUUUUCCAUCGCUCAUCGUCCAAUGCUGGAUACAGUCCUAGCAUUACCACCACACAAAUUGUCGUUAGUAUAAGAGAGGCAUAUGGUGGCAGAUUUCACUUUACAUUUUCCAUUGCCAUAUAAUAUACAAAGCUCCCCCUAUCUCCAGCUUUCAAUGCACAUCGUCAAUUAAAUAUUAAAUUAGCACAAAAGAAAAGGAGAACACGGAAUGGACACGGCGCACUGUAAUCGCAUCACCACAGUAUCGCGAGACAAUGACAGCUGUGCACAUUCCUAAAUAAAUCUAAAACCCGGUACACGUUGUCAAGUCAUUUUGAGGACAACUCCAGAAGAAUGAACCGAGACAACCGCCAAGACCAAAAUAAAUUUGUAAUAUGAGCAAAGCAAGUGCAAAGGAAGUUUAAUUUUAACUUAAAAAUCAACACAAGUAGUUCUUUCUACUCUAUCGGAGCUAUAUUUCACUACUGCACAAGUCGAAAGUACUUUAUGGAUAUUAAGAGAGCACAACAGAUGUCCGUUGGAGUAAGACUAGAUCUUAAUCACGAAAGGCAAACGUGUAAUCAAAACCAAUUUUCAGGCAUUAUAAGCAUAUCUAUCUCAUUACUGAGUUAAAAAGAGUACUUCCCUCACCGACGAGGUAUUAACUUAGAUAGCGAGGGAGUUUGAUUCUUUCCUCGUGACUUUAGCCUCAAGUUUUGUCGGGGGCACUUCAAUAAUUAAAUCUUAAUGCACCGGGCCGAUGCAGAGGAAUGCACUCAUAGUUCACCUGGGGAAGUGGACCAGUUGAGGUGCAGGAAAGCCGGCCCUAGUACCACCGGACCGUUCAAAAACAAAAAGUACUUUACUCAAAGUAGUUUAGAAACGUCGUUUUUCAAAUUCUGCUCUAAACAUCUACAACUACAAUUGAAUUUUAAACACAUGCAUGUCUUCACUCCAACAAGUCUACAGUGACUCCAAAGCUCAGAUAAAGCUUAUCAUAAGCUUUCUAAAGCUUCAGACAGUAUAAACUAGAAUAUUUAUUUAAUUCAAUGUUAAGAGUCCAUAAGCACCUCUUGCCUCAAAAAGAUGCUGGCAUUAGAUAAAGUAUGUCUCAUAUGUUUUUGUACGUAAAUCCAUUUGGUCUUGAAAUCCAAAUGUAAUGCAACGAUCAAGAUUGAGGAAGAGAAGGAGAGCUUGACAAAUGGACAUACAAAAAAGCCAACCAUCCACAAUUAGCAUACAAUUACCUUUUCUGUUGUCAAGUUAACAUAAAUGGAAGUUCAUCACUAUCGACUUUUUUAUUUUUCUGAGUGGAGGUGGAGAUUAUGGAGGCAGUUUUUGCACAAACUUUACAUACUAAAUGGGAAUUUUGAUUAGUGCCACUACCGAUAGUAGUAUAAUGCAAAUGAGUCCACCAGCGCAAAAGAAUCCACCUUUUCAGUGAAUCUUCUGGGAUAUACAACGCAAUUAGAUUACCCUCCAAUUAAAUAAACUACUUGCAGCUUUCAGGGUUUUAAAUUCUCUUCGACUGACUGAAUGCCUCAGUAGCAAAGUAGCAAUUAAACUCUAAAUAAUUUAGUCAUUCAUAUGACAUAUUUUACUAGCUUUGUGCAGCUUUAGUUAUUUCACAUUAAGCAUCUAUAGAGAGCAGCAAAAGGCAAUAAACAUUUCUUGGUCCAUGGCUCUUUCGAGUAGGAAGUUCAUUUAUCGUAUGAGGACGGAGUCCAAAAAAAUGAUGCACUCUUGUUACAUGAACAGUCACCUAAGAGACACCUAAGCAGCGAAAUCUUGCUUUGCAAAAUUUGUCGUCUUCUAUCUUGCCAUUUAUCAUUUACUUCACUUGGCUGCUAACUAGUGGCCUUCACAGAAGUCAAGGGACGACAAUCAUUUUCCCAUUUUGAUUUGAAAGCAAAGAAGACCUAGUCCCUUUCAAUUAGAAUAUUGGCUGCUAGUUCUCAGGUCAUGCUAAACACUAGUUUUAAUUCACAGUCUGUUCACCUAAAUUGUUACAUGUCCUCUGUCUAAACUUUCACUCAAGAACCACAUAUUUAGAAAAAUAACUUCAUUCCAGAACAUCACAUCUUCUUACAGGGUGCUUGUAAAAUGUCAACAUUCAUCUCAACGGCAUCUUUGGCUCAAACAACAUUGAUCAGACUCAAAAAGUAGCCAACUGUAUUGUCAGUUAGAAAAGCAAAAAUACAUCCUCUCUGAACCUGAGGAUUUCCACUAUGAAAGCUACAUCAACGUAUCACUUGCAAGCCCGGGUUAUAUAGGCAUAAAUCUGACGUCACAUGCAUAAGGUGCCUAUCAGAAAAUAAAGUGCUUGCACCAGUGUAUGAAGAUGGAAAUAUGAUAAUGUAAAGAAUAAGGGCUAUCGCAUAGAGAUUCAACACUGGAACUUGCUAAUAUAUAUAGCUAGAGGAUACCUAGAUAUCUGCAUACAAAAGAAUACCUAAAGCAGGUUUCCUUAUCAGACAUAAGUGAAAGAGACGAGAUACAAGAGAAGAUGGCGCAAGAAGAAAUCCGGAAGGGUCCAUGGACAGAACAGGAGGACUUCAAGCUGGUCUGCUUUGUGGGCUUGUUUGGAGAUCGACGAUGGGAUUUUAUAGCCAAGGUUUCAGGUUUGAAGGUGGCGGGAGACAAAUAAUAGGUAGGCUUAUCUUGAAGAUAAAGGUUCUUGGAAGGGGCUACCACUGAUAGCAUGGUUUUGAUGUAGGUUUGAACAGAACAGGGAAGAGUUGCAGGUUACGUUGGGUUAACUACCUCCACCCAGGUCUCAAGCGAGGGAAGAUGACACCUCAAGAGGAGAAACUUGUGGUUGAACUUCAUGCCAAAUGGGGAAACAGGUCCUAAGACUUUGUUAUCUAUUCUUAGCUUCAAUUUAUCAGCCAGUAUAUUAUACCGCUCUACAGUUCUUAAUGCAUUAAACAAAUUCAAAAUGUUGCUUAUCUACUUCUUCUAAAGUACAGCACUUAUGUGAUGCAGAUGGUCCAGAAUUGCUCGUAAAUUACCGGGACGCACAGAUAACGAAAUCAAGAACUACUGGAGAACUUAUAUGAGGAAAAAAGCUCAGGAGAGGAAACAUCCCAUUCCGCCAUCAUCAUCAUCAUCAUCAUCUUCUAAUUGCUAUUCAUCCACAUCAAACAAUCCUCCUGCUGAUUUGUUACCCUUCCAAGCAACUGGAGAAGUAAGCUACUAUGACACAGGUGGUCCAAAUGUAUCAACUCCGACAAGAAAGAAGAGUGAAGAAAAAGAAGACCAUGAAAAGGGGGACUCCAUGGAUGAUAUAUGGAAAGAUAUUACUGCUUCAGAGGAGACUAAUGAUAUCACACAGUCUUACAACUGCUUUAGUGAUGAGAGUUACAGUUUCACCUGUCCUCAAAUGGCUUCACCAGCAUGGGAAUUAUACUCUGACUCACUCUGGAAAAUGGAUGAAGAAGAAGGCGAGAUGCUUCUCUCCAUGAGCAAUCAUUACUCUUCCUGGUAAAUACAGGAGUCAAGAGAGGGUCCUUUGUUGGUUGAUAAGAAUUUCAUUAAUUAAUAUUUCUCCAGUUAAGCAGUAUCUUUAUAAGGAAGCACUAACCCGUAUAGCAUGGUUUAGUAUAAGAUGUGAAGAUAGGUCUCAGUCCACAGAAAUGCCUGUCAUUUCAUGCAUGCUGGAGUCCUUCAUCCCUAGAUAAUGUUUUGUUAUAAAGCAGGAAAAAUAACCUCAUUGAUCUUCAAUGAGGUAGUAAUCCCAUUGAUGGGUUUCUUGUAAUAUAGAUUUGCAAUUCCUCUUAUGUUCCUUAAGGGAAUGGUAGCCUUCCUAUGUUAGCCAAUGCUUAACAAAAAGUCGACACGCUUUAACAUGACCAAAUCCUGUCAAAUAUGCCUGAAAUAAUCACAUCUAAUUGAUUUUCCAGUGCUAGUAGCUCGGGCAUCAUUACCACUAUAACCAAAUCCAUGGUCCAGAUAAUGCUGGCAAUAGCUGCAACGUAAAACCACUAAGUAAUUCCAACUAAAGAAGCUAGAGCAAAAUGAAUAUGGCGGGAUAAAGUAGAAUAUCCUACCAUGAAUAAAGAAAUACAUGACUCGACAAGAUAUCUCAAGACCCUUUAUUUUAGCAGGCACAUCCGCUAACAGACACUUUAUUUGGUGUUUCUUAUGUAGAGUAAGUGUAAAACCAUUUAAACAAAGCAUCCCACCAAUAUUAACCAUUUUGAGUGGAUUUUGUACGUUUCACUGAGAUAUCGUUAAAGUAUAUAUUCAACUCAAUAAAACACCAUCACUUGUGAAGAUGCUCAGGAAAAAUCUCCCCUUUUACCCAGCCUGGUCUAUGACAGGCUAUGUGAAGACAACGAUUACUACUCAAUAGACAAAAUAAGGAAAGGGAAAUUUGAGAAGAACAAAGCCAAAUGUAAAGGAAAAGAUAUCUGCUACAUUCAGUAACACCACCUUGACACUAUUUAAUAUCUCUAUGAUCUAUACCAGUAGCCAUUUAGAACAAAAAAAUAAAUAAAUAAAAAGGCAUCUAAAACGGGAAAAGACUGUAGAAUAUAGAUAAUAAACCAUAUUAUGACCUUUCAUGUCUUCAAGGAGAGUAAAAGUGCAAAGUACCUAUUCAAGUAUUUCCCAUGUAAAACCAAGACAUGUUUAAAUCUGUUAGAGGUAAAAUUUAUUUUCAGGCAAAUACGCCACUUAUCAUCAAGAAAUGAAUUAUGCUGGUCUCAUAUGUUCAUAUAACGCUAACUGUGUUUAAAAUCUUGCAUCGCCAUUCAUAAGUGGUGGUGGACCAAGAACUCUCACCCUUGAUGUAUAGAAUGAAGCAUCUGGUGUUGCAACCAAUUGUUUCCUUCAGAAAGGACCCACAGUGCUUUACCAAGGUACACAACUUAACUGUCAACAUUGAUCCAAAAUACCCAUUUAUAAUAACGUGAAUUUAAGAAGAAACAUUAGGCAUCUCUCGAAAGACAAGUUAGACUCCUUCAUAUUACAUGUUCCCCCAUUUGGAUCUGGACUUCCCCUUUAAUCCUGUGUGACAGCAGUUUUAUCAUCCAUGGAAAUCUACAUAUUACCAGGGAAGCAGGAUGAUAAUACCCACUAAGAGAUUAACAUUUUAAUCCGUUACUUCAUUAGAUCAGUCGUGAAUUCACCUAAUGAUUCUUUGCAAAAACCUCAAUUUCCAAUUGGAAUUUUACUGCGAUGAUCUCUGACUUCAGUUUCAUCUUAUGGAGCACAGAAAUUAGAGGUCUACUUCAAUGAUUCACUCAUUUGAGGAAUCUUUGCACCCAAAUUAGAGAAAUAAUUCUUCUGCUAUUGAUCAAGUAUUUGCACAUGUAGAUAGGGACAGCCAGACUGGAAAUACAAGAAUGCUAUUGCUUUAUUUUGGCAGAACGUCUAGUCGAUCAAAUGCUAAUCCCAAGCCAUACUUUUAUCUUUUCCCAGCCUAAUGGAUUUCUAGCAAGAACUGAGGCAGUCUCAUGCUCAUAUAGCCGUAUCUAGUAAAAUCAAAAUUCAGUGUAACUCGAAUCUGCAUUUAUUAAGACUCCAUCCUGUCUUCUCAAUUGCCAGCACAAAAUUUAUGCAUUAAAACCUUGGUCAUUAGAUAUUCAUCAUUCAUCAGACUCUAAUUGGGAGCACAUUCUUCCUCCACCACUCAAUCGGGCAGAAUCCUCUCCACAAUAUCUGACUUCUGGACACAUUCUUUGGCCAAGAAAAGGUCAGAUAUACAUCCACGCAAACUGGCACGCAUAAAAAACUUUAUCCUCUGGAAAGUUGAUUCAUAUUCAGCACAAUCAAGCCAGCAAUGAUAAUCCAAACACGUCACCAGUCACUCUAAAAUAAGUCUACCGAUCACAGAGACCUUAUUCAGGAAGGGGCCCUCCUUCGACCCCUAUCUGGCAUACGAUCUCCGCUGUUAACAACCAACUCCUCCAUACAAUUUGUACCAAAUAGCACGGAACACUCGCUCACCCCUACCGAUCGUGUCCUAAUGCGAUCGCGCCACGAAACGAGUAACUCAAUCGAGUUCAUACGCGACACGGAAUGACAUGGACAUACGUCCGGGAAGACGGUCGCUUAGGUCAGAAAUAGACCCGCGGUUCCCCAGAAAAGGCAAAGGCCCAACGGAGGACACGGGAGAUAGAACUGAAACCGGCGACGAAUCCAUCGAUCGCGACGCGCGCCCGUUCAAAGAAACGAGCCGUCAGGCGCAAACGCGCGCAGCGAACGACCGCCGUACCGACGGCCGAGCCGUAACCGAACGAGAAAGCAAGGAGAGAUCGAAUGGAGAUUACCUCCGCGCGGUGUCCGGAUCGAGAGCCCUAGGCCAGGGCGGUCCGGAGGGAACAAGAGGCGACGCCAUUUUCGCCGGAGCUACGCUCGCCGCUUGCGACUCCGAGGAUCGGAACGGCGGAGCGGAGGGCGAGAACGGAGGAACGCUGUGACGGACGGGAGUAGGCGAUGGCCGUUGAGCUCUCGACAGUUCGGCUUUCGUCGCUCGUUUUGGCGGGCGUUCCGAUCUCGGUUCGAGGCCUUCGCGCUCGGCCCAGAUCGCCGUGGACCGGCCCAAAUCCAAUGAUGAGCGGUCAAAAUCGGACCCGACCCGACCCGACCCGAGCAGCCCUUCGCUGACGGGAAAAAGAGGAUAUUCGGACUGGUGCCGACUUUGAUCCGCCGCUCCUAAUCCUAUGGCAUGCAAAUACGACCGUUCUUAAAACAUAGAAAUCUUGCGCCGGUCGUUAUUUUGCAAUUAGUGUUGAUUGUGGAGUGACUGGCCAUAACUACAGUAGAAAGAGAUGAUCGUGAGGACGUGAUAGUCGGAUAUGAUAAUGACUUUGACUUGCUUGCAACUUUCAAUGAUGCAAAUUGCAUCUCAACGAUCCUAAAUGUUAUUUAGCUUCUCUAAGGAAUUAUGUCAACUCCAUGUCAUUUUUCUCGCCCAAUGUUGACUUGAAAAUAGUUAUUAUGUUUCAUCUUUUUCCUCUCUUUUUGGAAAUUUAAGACGAAAGAGACAAUGAUGACAUCCAUAGAAAAUGUACCCAAAAUCGAGGGCUACCAUUUAAAUGUGAAAUUGGAAUGCGUUUCCCUCUUGACAUCUCGAUAUUUUUGUCAUCAAUUUUGAUGCGCAUAUGUCCGUUGUAUGUAUACAUAUAAUCAAAUAUCCAAUAAGAGCAACCCCAAAAAUAUGUAAAUUCUUCUAUUUGGUGCAAAUUUCUUUUUACAAUUUUUCAUGUUCAAACUGAUUUUGGCUAGUCUACCAUGGCAAGGUUAUCUUACCAUCAGGUGAAGGUAAAUUUUCACAACACUAGGUUACCAAAUUAUCUAUAGUAAACCACGUUCAUUAAGUUAAGUGGAUUUCUUUCUCGUAAAUUUAUAUUUUUUAGAAUGAAAUUUAGAAUUUAUUGCGUGACAAUGUAUGAUUAUUUUAGUAUCCUCAUAUAUUUUGUGGUAUAGCACUAUCAUUAGUUAGUGUAUUUGGGGUAAACUAGUUUACUAGUGACAACCCUUAUCGCGCCAUGAUCAAUCUUCCUACUUUCAAAAGAUAAUUUCGAAUGUUAAUGAAAAAGUGCAUAAAUUGACAGUAAUUUCUUCUUUUUCAAAUAAAUAUAGCUUUGACUAUUUUCCUCUGUGAAGUAGUCACCAUUAGUCUAUUGUUUUGAAGGCCAAGGCUUGAAUCCCUCGCAAACAACUCUCAACUUGUUUGAGCUCUCUCCUUAUCCCUUUGGCGAUAAUAUGCCCUCUACCCAAAACUCUAAUUUCCUAUACCCUAAAUCUCCAUCUUCAUGGAAGAAUCGGUGCCUCCUCCACCGGAUUAGCCAUCCAUAUCCUUAUUCUUCUAUGUGAUCCAUUUGGAAUGAAAAAAUCACCGCAUCUUUUUCUGUAUCUUUCCUCGUGGCACAACUAGAUGCAAUGAAGUCCCCUCAGAACUAAUUGAAGCUGGAUCUAAUCAUCAAAGGGAGAUUCCUGCACUAUUGAUCCCAAUACAACCAUUAUAUAGAUAGCUACCCCCUAUCCAAAUCACAUUACCUAGCAAAACCUAGUUACAGACAUAUACCCAUUCUCAAACCCAUCAACCACUGAACCCAAAUUUUUGUUGAAUGUGGGUGCUCACCCAUCCCAAAGCGCCCUUCACCAUUACCCAAAACCUUAUCACUUUCAGCCAACCUAACAUAGCUCGCAAGAGAUGGAAGGAGUGGAUGAUAACCAACUUAGAUUGAUUGCCCUAUGUCGGUGCAUGGGAGAUCUGUGGUCCGAAGAGGAUAUAAGCAAACUAGGAGCUGAAAUUCCAGAGAAAGAAAAACAAAAGAAUGAGCUAACUCUCUAUGGGAAGCUGUAUUCAAAGCCAAAUGUCAAUUUCCAGGCAUUUCUUAGCACAAUGAGGAAGCAUGGAAGACAGAUUCAAUCAACUAUAAGUUGAUAGAAUAUGGUUUCUUUUCCUUUUUAUUUAGUUCGAUUGAAGAGAAAAUAAGAGUAUUAGAUUCUGGACCCUAGUCUUUUGUGAGUAACCUACUAGUCCUACAAGAAGGAGAUCUAAACAUACUUGAACAUUGCUAUGAGUUCAUGCAUUAUGUGUUUUGGGUGCACAUUUUGGACCUCCCUCGUGCUAGAGUAACUAAAGAUUCAGUGCAUCUUAUUGCCUCUAAAGUCGGGAAGUUGAUGAGGUAAAACUUGAGGCAAGGAACAAUAAUUUGCUCAAAAGCGAAAAGGAAAAGGUGUGGCUGAACAUGUCUUGUCCCCUUAAAACAGGAAUGAUUAUCAACGUGGGUGAAAAAAAUGGAAAGACUUUAAAUAUGAAAGGCUUCCACGCUUUUGUUAUUUAUGUGGUUGUAUAAGACAUUAUACAAACUUCUAUUUAGAAAUACCUUGUGAAGAAACAAGACUAGCCUAGGAUAAACCAGGUCGAUAUGGCUUGUGGUCAAAGACAUAAGUUAGAGAAUUUAGUUCAUAUGGAGGGCCUUUCAUGGGAAAUUGAACUUUUUGCUGCAAAUGAAGAGAUUGUGCUGGAAGCUCCCACAAUUGUUAUCAAAGAGCCCUUGAGAACAGAAGAAGCUGAACAUAAUGAAAUGGCAAUUGUUAUUGCAAAUUCCAUUGAAAAUGAGUUUAUGGAAGACUCGAGAAAGGCAUAAUAUGCACCUAUGAGCAGUGGUAAAAAAACACAACAAAAUCCAGUAUUACUACCUUAUUCAGAAAGCAAUUAUAUGUAUACAGGGAAAUCCAAGAAAGAAAAGGUAGUGUACAAAAGUUCAAUGGCAAAGAAACAAAAACUUGUCAGUCUCUAUGAGAAAAAGACCUCAUUGAUCUUCUUAGUGGAUGAGGAAUAACUUUUUAAUGCCCCAAUUCAAUCAUGGGAAGGGGUCCAAACACAAGCUUUGGGGCUAGCCCUAAUAAGCCACCAAAAGAAAAAAAAAAUUGAACUGGAACUGUUAGGGGUUGGGCACAUUCAUGACAGUCUAGCACCUUAAAGCCUUAGUGGCUCAUGAAAGGCUCAAUUUGGUUUUUCUUUUGGAAACCAAGAAUAAAACUAAUGUAGUUGAGAGAGUAAGGAGACGUCCUUAGCUUGAUUAUUUUUUUUUUUUUUAUCAUUGAGAAUGAAACAUGUAUUUCUCUUGAAAAUGAUGAUAUUGAAUCCUUAUUCUCUGCUGAUGAAGAGUCAUCUGAACAAACUCUUUGUGUCAUCCCCUCUUACCAAACUUCCGGUGAGACUGAGUCAGACUCAGAGUCUGAAGAUAUUUUCCAUAUAUCAUCCUCAUCUCCAGAACCAAACCUUGAUAUAUUUUCAAGUCAAACUCACCGUCCCCAUUUCCCUGUAAAAAUCCUCACUUCAAAGUUUGCAAAACUCAUCACUGUUAUUGCCCUCAUUGACACAGGAGCAAGUUGUUCAAUAUUGGACACCAAAGUUCUUCCGCGGGAGGCGUAGCACUUAUGUGGAAUGGGGAGGUUAAGUGGAAGUGGAGUUUUGUUCCAGGAAGCUUAUUGAUAUUUAAUGCAAGGACCUAAAGAGUGGCAACUUAAUGCAUGUAUCUUUCCUACAUGAAUCAACCAAUUUUCCCGAUAGAUUAAGGCUAUGGCAGGCUGUGUUUGGUUCAGCAUUUCCAAUGGACUUUCAGGCCUGAAAGCCCAUUGGGGAAAUGCUAGACCGUUUGGUUUAACUUUGAAGCUGGCUUUCAGCUUUCAGCAUUCCGCCGAAUGCUGAAAUUAUUUUUUCCCUUUCAAAACUAUCCUCACUAAUUUUUCAUAUUUCUGACUUUGCCCCUGAUUAUUAUUAUUUUUAAUUGAAAAAGUAGGCAAUCCUUUGCCGAACUGGCAGAGGGCUACGGUAAUUGGCGAGCCAGAUUUGGUGCCGGCGGCUGUCGACUGAGGUUGCUCGAGGUCGAGCGACCUCCGGCGAGGGUUGCGUGCUCAAGCCGAGGGCCGCCAGAGGUCGCUUGACCUCAAGCGAUCCUUGGGCGAGGGUUGUUCGACCCAGGGGCCAUGCGACCCAGGGGCCGUGCGACCCAGCAAUCGCCGCCUGGGUCUCGCGGCCGCAGGCAGCCUUCACCUAGUCUUCACGAGGGUUGCGUGAUGGCGGCUGAAGUGUGCGGCCCUUGGUCGAGCAACCCUCGUCAAAGGUUGCCCGAGGUGGGCGACCUCCAGCGGGCCCUCGGCUGGGUUGCGUGACCCUCGCCCGAGGUCACCCGACCCAGGGGAUGGUCGCUUGGAUCAUGUGGCCUUUGGGUCGGGUGACCCUCAGUGACCCUCGGCUGGGUCGCGCGACCCUCGUCGGAGGUUGCCUGACCUCGGGUGACCUCAGCUGGCGGCCAUAGCCCUUCGCCGGUCCGGCGAAGGGUUUAGUUCAAUUUUCAAAAAAAGAAGAAGAAGAUAUAUAUACAUACAUAUAUUAUACCCAUCACCCAUUGCGAAUUUUUUUUUUUACCAAAUGCACAUUCAACUCAAAGUCCAUUUACAAAUUUUUUUUACCAAAUACAAUUGCAUUUCCUCAAGUAGCUUUGGGCUUUCAGCAUUUGCAUUAGACUCAAAGUCCUUUGCAAAUGCUGAACCAAACGCAGCUGCAGUCCUUGAAACUUAGCAAUUUAGCCGAUUCAUUUCCUUGGUUAUGCAUAGGAGACUUUAAUGAAUUGUUAUAUCAUUGGAAAAAGAUCGGGUGUCGAGAGGUGAAUCGUUAUAAUAUUGUAGCUUUCCAAGAGUUUCUGAAUACUUGCUUGGUGAUGGACAUUGAAACAAAGGUUGUGCUUAUACAUGGUCAAACAAUAGGGAAUGAAAUAUAUUAGUUAAUAAGAGAUUGGAUAGGGCAAUUUACAAUCUAGAAUGGCAAAUUCUUUUUCCAAAUGCGGAGGCCUUUGCACUAUCGGCAAUAGGAAUGGAUCAUAACCCGAUUCUACUUUCUCUAGAUCCAAAUGAAGCAAGAAGACAUUCCGGUUUGAAGCAUAUUAGCUGGAGGAUCCUGAGUAUGAAAAGGUGGUCAAGCGAGCUUGGAAUGAGAAUAGAGCCAACUAGACCAACUUUGCAAACAAGGAAAGUAGUUGCUGAAUUAAGUAAAUGGAGCAGGGAAAAAUUUUAGAAUGCCCAAAAAUAGAUCAUUCCGCUCAAAUUAAGGCUCAUGGAGUUGACUAAUGGUGCUGAAGAGGAGGAAAAUAAGGAGAAAUUUAGCAACAUUGUAACAAUAAUAGAAGAAUUAUGGAAUAAAUGUAUUGGUGUAUGCGGUGUAGAAUUAACUGAAUGAAAUGAGGAGACAGAAAUAUUGAGUACUUUCAUGCCGCAACAGUUUAAAUAAGACAAUGGAACAAAAUAUUUAUGCUAUAAAUCAACGACCAAACUUGGAGUCAGGACCCUUCAACCAUCAAGCAACAUAUCCAAAGCUUGUACCAAUCUCUAUUUACCUCAGUGGGGAGUAGAAACUAUCAAAUUGUAUUAGGCCAGUAUUAACUAGUGGUCAAUGAAGAGAUGAAUGAAACUUUGAUUAAACAAGUCUCUAAAGAGGAAGAUAAAAUUGCUAUUUUUUAGUAAGGGCUACAAAAGCGCCAGGUCCAAAUGGAUUUAAUGGACUAUUCUACCAAAGUCAUUAGCCCAUAAUAUAUGAAGACAUCUUUAGCAUGGUUGAGUCUUUGUUUAGCCAAGGUACGUUCAAUCCAGAGACUAACAAAAUUUAUAUUACUCUCAGUCCUAAAGUAACAAAUUAUGAGGAUAUCACCCAAUUCAGACCUACUAGUUUAUGCAAUUUUAAUUACAAGAUUAUUACGAAGGUGAUAGCAAAUAGGCUGAAACCAUGGCUUCUGAAGAUUAUCUCUAUGGAGCAAAGUGCUUUCAUAAGUGACCACCAGAUACAGGAUAAUAUCUUUUUAGUUUAGGAGGUGCUUCAUCAAUUAAGAGUAUGAAGCAUAAAGCGUAAAUUCCAGGUCAUUUUGAAAUUAGAUAUGUGAAAAACUUAUGACAAGGUCGGAUGGGACUUCAUUUGUGAUUAUAUGUUGAGAUUGAACUUUAAUGGGAAAUGAGUCAAAUGGAUCAAAUAAUGCAUCUCAUCGGUUUCCUUCAGUAUCCAAGUAAAUGGAGAACCUUCGGCUGUGUUUCAGCCAACUAAAAGAAUCAGGCAAGGUGAUUCUCUUUCCCCUAUCUAUUUAUCAUCAUGGCUAAUGUCCUCUCUUCCCUCAUGACCAAAGUAGUAGAUUAGAGAAGUAUUAAGGGUAUUUGGCUAAAUCCUAUCUAUCCAACACUCUCACAUCUUCUAUUUACUGAUGAUGCAAUCUUUUUCCUAGACGGUACAAUAAGAGAGGCUUAGAACCUAGCUAAUAUAUUGAAUCGGUACUAUUAUGUGUCAGGACAAGUUACAAAUCUUAACGUGUUAAGCCUCUUCAUAGGGAGAGACUGCCCUUAGGGUCUCAAACUGAAUUCAACUGCUGAAUUAAGAGUUUCAAUUAUAGAGAAAAUAGGGAAUUAUCUUGGAAUACCCUUUGACUGAGGUCAAAGAAAAAAACAAAUAUUUGCUUGGAUUCUUGCUAAAGUUGAAAGGAAACUCGAAGGAUGGAAGGAGAAGUUGAUUUCAAAGGCAGAAAAUGAAGUCCUAAUUAGGACAGUUAUUCAAGUUUUACCUCAAUAUGUUAUGUCUAUUUUCAAAAUUCUGAUAUCCAUUUGCCGUACCAUUGAGAAGAGAAUAGCUUUGUUUCGAUGAAAACAAAAUUAGUAAGGAGGGGCAUUCAUUAGAAGAAUGGGAAGAUCUGAAAACUAUAAAAUAUUUGGGGGGGGGGGGGGCUAGGUUUGAAAAGCUUAGUGGAUCUUAAGAUCUUAAUAAAACAAUUCUAAGCAAGUGAGCCUGGAGACUUGUCCAAAUACCAGAUGCAUUAUGCAGUAGAGUCCUAAAAGUAUUUACUUCCCUAGAGGUAUUUUUGGAAUGCAAACAAAAGCUCUCGACCUUCGUGAGGGUGGCAAAGUUUGUUGAUGGGAAGAGAUGUAAUUGAACCUGAAACUAGAUAGGAAGUUGGAGAUGGAAAAAGGAUGAGAAUCAGAGAAGAUGAGCAGCCACCCUCAGGUGAGAUAAUUGGCCCAACAAAUCAAGACGAUUCAUACUUUGUUGCCAAAUUAAUUGAUCAAGAAUCUAAGGAAUGUGAUAGUUGACAACUAAAUGACUUGUUUGGGGAAAGUGUAGUGAAAGAGAUAUUAGCUACUCCUCUCAGCCUAAAUCUCGAUCUAGAUAUGCUUUUGUGGAUAGUAAACAGUUUGGAUUCCUCUAAAGUGAAGAGCGGCUAUAACAUAAUCCAUAAGAUGGGAGACUUCCCAAUAGCAAAUAAUCCAUCAAUAUUCUACUAGACUCCUAAGUCACUAUGGAAUGAGAUAUGGAAGCUCACGUUCCCAAAAUCCAAUUCCUACUAUGGAGUAUAUGCAGCAACGCACUUCCUACUAAGGAAAAUGUUCAUAAGAGGAGAAUAUUACUUGAUCCAACAUGCUGACUAUACGGGGAAGUAGCACAAACAAUAGAUCAUAUGUUACCUGGCCGAAUCAAUUGCUUGGUUGUGUAGAAACAAUGAAGGGCUCAUCAUCGACGGCUUUACCAAGCAGAUCCACGCUCCUUCAGUUUUGGUGGUCGAAACCUUAGCUGUGCGAGAAGCAUUGUUGUGGUUGAAGAAUAAAAGAGAGUCAUGAACUGAUUUGGAACAAAAACUAAAGUGUGGAACUAAUCUACAAGUGCAAUUAUUAUCGGACAACUUAUUAGUGACCGAGUGCUUAUUAAGCCAAGCGGAUCUUCCAUGGGCGGCCUAGUCCAUUGUCAAAGAUUGUAAAGAAGUUUUGGCCCAACUUAGUGGAGUUUUUGUGAGCUAUGAGCUGAGAGAAUCAAACCAGACCACGGAUUGGGUCGUCAAGUCCCACCAAGCCAACUCCCUCCCAUUGAAUUGGAUUUCUAGUCCUCCUCGUUCUCUAUGUUUAAUUUUUUAUCUGGACUUUGAAACUAUUGGUGUCCCUUUUGUGGGUUAAUAAUGAAAAUCACUAUCUUUUGAUUAAAAAAAAAAUAGAAGUGGAUUUAGACUUGUGAGGAACAAGUUAUUUUUACCACAAACAACUUAUAUUUACAAAGAAUAGCUUGCGUUAAUGAAAACUUGAGUCCAUCAAGGUCAACUUGUAUUUACUAAGAGCAACUUAAAUUUAUUGAGAAGAAGUUACAAUUAAGAAAUAUAGAGGUGAACAUUACCCCUCGGUUUAUGCAAUUUGUCCUUUGUAAAUCCCAAGCAUUCUUCGUAAAUAUAAGUUGACCAAAAAAAUUAUAUUUAAAUUUGGUGAAAAGUUUUAUGAGUUAAAUUUAUAAUUGAAUUGACAUCCGAUAUCUGUAUAACAAAGAGGAACUUGUCCAAUUAGUCCUAAAUCUAUUAUAUAGGUGACAAUUGAGUCUUAAAAUUUUCAAUAUUUUUAAUUUAAUCCUAACCCUUUACAUAAAUUUCCAUCUAAUCAUUUUUGGUCAAAUUUCGUUGAAAAUUGCCAAUGUGACAAUAUGCCACGUAAAACGGUAGGUAAUAAUUGGAAUGGUCAGCAAUUUUCGACGAAAUUGACCAAAAAAAUUUAUAUUUAACUUUUGCAAAAAGAUAAAAAAAUUAUGAUUAAAUUGGUAUUCGACAUUUGUCCAAUAAGUUUAGAAUUGACUAUCGAUUUUACUUCUUAUUCAUAUCUAAUUAUUUAUGAGCUAGACAAUACUCUCUUUGUUGUUACAUACUCACCUACUUCUUUUCAUUUUCAGGGGUUCAAAUUGUUAUAUUCGACGCAGAGGUUUUAGACAGGCUUUGCUCUUAUUCUCGAAAUCGAAACAUGCGAUCAAGAUCCCAAAAUUUUUCAACGAGAAAGCAAAAUAAAUCGAUUCACUUGCAACGGGAAUUGACAAAAACAGCCAGAGGUACAGAAACAAGACUCACGACAAACCCACCCCAAUUUUUUUUUUUUUUGGUCGUGAAACCCACCCCAAUUCAGAAACCCAAAAAAACACAACUUCCACGUCAACGGCUCGCGACCUUAGAAUUCAGUGGUGGGGAGCUGCUCGUGGGUCUGGUUGAUGAAGAACAGCUCGUAGAUGACGGCGGCGAUCCCGGCGCCGAGGAACGGGCCGAGCCAGUACACCCAGUGGCUGCUCCACGACCAGCUGACGACGGCGGGGCCGAAGGAGACGGCCGGGUUCAUGGACGCGCCGUCGAAGGCCCCGCCGGCCAAGAUGUUGGCGCCGACGAUGAGGCCGAUGGCGAGGGGGGCGAUGAUCCCGAUGUUGCCCUUCUUCGGGUCGAUGGCGGUGGCGUAGACGGUGUAGACCAGGCCGAAGGUCAUCACGAUCUCGAACACCAGCGCGUUCCACACGGUCACGCCGGAGGACAGGGAGAAUGCGGAGGUUUCCUGUAAUAAUUUACAUGAAUGCAAAAUUGUUAAUUUGCUUUUCUUGUUUAUUUUUUUAAAGCAACAAUAUUGAUAAGUCGACAGUUGACUUUUCCCGCAAUGGACCAGACCGCAUCUUUCCAUUUUUCCUCAAACUUUACUAUUUCCUUUGGCGAUUUGACCUUAUGAUAUUUCAUUUUCUCCCUUUCUUGAUAUUUUGAUUUGAAUUAGGACCAUUCAUUGGCGAAAUCAUCUUACCAGUCCACCGGUGGCGAACUUGAGGAGCAAGCAAGCAACCACCGAUCCGGCACAUUGGGCGAUCCAGUACAUGACACUCCUGGCCAAGGUGAUGUGGCCGCCCACGAAGGCGCCGAAGGUGACGGCCGGGUUCACGUGGCCACCGGAGAUGUUCGCACCGACUGAAACGGCCACGAACAGCGCAAAGGCGUGAGCCAGCGAUGCUUGCACGAGGCCGGCGGGGGUCGUCGACCCAUCAUCAGUGACCUUGUCUGUACAAAAAUGAGUCACACGUUAGGUUCUAGGUUCUUAAGGAUAUACUAGUGGAACACAUGGUUGCUCUUUUGGCAUGCUCAUGUAUUAUUGAACGACUCCUCGUAAAAAAAAUAGUCGACAUUUUAUGGUCUCUCUAAUAAAUCACGAUUAAAUUGAUGGAACAAUGAGUCUAAAACUAACACACAAUUCAGAAUUCGUUUCAUUGAAAUUUAUUGAGAGAGAAAUCUUGGAUUUAAAGCUAAUGAAAUGACAAAGAUGCUAGCAUGAGCAAGGCUAUCGUGACAACAAUGUUUAAAGGGACGGAGGAGACUUACUGAAGGCCAUGCCCGCGCCUUCGCCGGCGAAGACGAAAAUGAGCAUCGAAAUGAACUCAGCCAGAGCCGCUUUGAGGGUAUCGGCCUGGCCGACCUCGGCCGGAGACCCGACGGCGAUCCUGGAAAUCGGCAUUCUCGGAAGAUUCGGUUUUCGCUUAGCGCUUCGCUAGAGUGCUUAGAAAAACCAAAUCUGCUCGUUCACUUGCUCUCUCACUCACUGCUUGCCUCAAAAGCGAGCGAAGCCUUUCCCAUAUAUAGCGCGCCCAAACGCCCCCCCAUCGCAACCGGAAUAGCCGGUCUCCAUCCGGUCACAACGAAUGUUCAAACGUGGGGACCGGGAUGGGCCCCUCCUCUCUUCACAGCGACGGGCCUCCAGUUCGUUCCCGUCGCGACACGUGUAGGGCGAUGAUGUGACGCUGACCGACUAGUAGGCGAGCAUCACCGCCCAGUGACAAUGGGCUUUGCGGUGGGGGGUGGGGCCCCGCGCCAAUGAUGGCGUUGUUUUCAUUUACCUCAGACCGACCACGGGAUUUGUUUAUGGCGGGCUGACGUGGACCACGGCGCGGGGUGGUUAGCUGGCGUUGGUCUCUCGUUAUCCCUCGGCCGCUCUAAUCUAAUAUAAUCAAAUCGAUUGAUGCGAAAAAUCAAAAUCAGCUGCAAUUUCGGCCAUUGUUUAAGUCCUGCAACGGGACAUCGUGCGCGGUCGUGGACCGCGCGAAGGACACGGGCGCGGGGUUCGAGAUCUUGAACCCGUGAUUUGGUAUGUGGAGCUGCAUGAACUCUCUCGCCCGUCGUUUCGGAGUCCGAUGGGGUACGACUGAAUGCUGUUCACGUCCGCAGAAUGAAAAUCUCUUAAGAUAUACGGAUGGGGAUUUGCUUGCAAUAUUCAUUGUGGAAUGAAUUCAUGUGACAGACGAGUCGAUUUUGUGAAGUCCGGAUGGAGGGUGCUGUUGAAAUAAGGUCGGCACAAGCUUUUCACAUUUAUGCAUGUGGGGAUUCAUACCCACUUGAAGAAACUCUCGAAUUGCCCCUUUCGAAAUUAAAGAUGAGAGUGCCUUGGUGUGACUUUUUCUUUGGAAAACUUAACCCGUCUCUCGAGGAGAGCCUUAUUGCAAAACGAGAAGGUUAAUAUGCCACUUGAUUAAAAUGGGUUUCAUGUGCAAUUAGUAAGGGGGAUCGAAAGGGAAUUAGACCCAAGUACAUAGCACCACUUUUGUAGGGUGAGAUGUAGGCUUUUGACGUGGCAGUAGCCUACUCUGUCUUUUCUAGCCAGCAGCACUGUUGGGCAUGUGCGUUCCUGGCUCCAUUCGGAUCCAAUGCACAUGCUCUUUUUCUUCUUUAAGUAAUAAAUUGCGCUCUCGGUAACCGCAUGUUCUAGGGAGCUUCUGCACCUUUCUAGAGCAACAUGCAAGAUCAUCACUUCUUCGGGAUAAUCUAAUUAAGGCAAGAUCUGCUAAUUCCUCUGCGUGCAACGCAGUUAACAGAUCAUAUGCAAUGUUGGAUAUUUUCUUCUUCUUCUUUUCCUCAUCGUAUAAUGCUGGGUAUAGACAUUACAAUCACUUUUAACCCUAAGUAUGUUACACCGGGAACCGAGUAGAAUAAGAACUAAAAGUUCGUUAAGAAGCACUUGUCGCAUGAUCAAAAUCCCUUUGAUGCUAAUCAACGUUCGAUUAAGUACGAGAUCAAGUUCAAAAAAAUUGCACCUCCUUAAACGUCACUCUCUUCACUGUCACAUUCCCAGGACAUACAUCAUCGUAUGAUGCAAAUGACUGUAAUACCAAAGGACCAAAUUCAAAUAUAAUCAUCCAAUCAUUCACGAGGGGGGUCAAGUCAACAAAACCCCACCUUCUCCUCGUCACGUCCAUAUAAUGCGAAAUUCGCAAGCAAUAAAAUAAAUGAUGAUGCCAAAAUUAUGCUAGGACCCUACUAGAGUGACUAGCUAAUGACAUAAGGAAAAACAACCAGGGUUUGAUAAUAGGUAAAUGAUUCAAAUGGUCUCUUCAUCUUGAUUAGAUGUGCAAUGCAAUUGCAGUUUCUAAACUUUAAAUUUGUUCAAAAUGUGAUAUGUAUUGUUAUUCAUAAAUUUUUAAUUAUUCAAUGUGGUUUCUAACUUUAGAUAUAUGUUCAAUUUAGUCCAUGAACUAUAUGCUCAUAAACUUGAAAUAAUGAAAAGAAAACAUUGAAUAUUUCAUAUAAUCUAUAGACUAAAUUAAACAUGAAUCAAAAGUAUACGGACUACAUUGAAUAAAUUAAAACUUUAGGGUGAUAUUGCACAUCGGGUUAAAGUUCAAAAACCAUAUUGCACGUCGAGUCAAACUUCAGAGAUAAUUUGUGUCAUUAUCCAUUGGAUAGUUAACGAGACUUGGCCACAUGACAUUUUAGUUUUAGUGGCCUCUAACUUAGUUUAAUUAAUCAAAAUUACGUGGUGCCAGAAAAGCAAAGUGAGCUGUGCUAAUACGGAUUAAAAACUGAGGGAGUAGUUGAUUAAGGACAGUCCCGGUCACGGUGGACUUUUGGGUGCAUCUGGAAAUUGAAUAAUUUGGCUUACGUGGCCAUCUCACCGACCAGAAAAAACAUACCAAUUUUUUUCCCACAAUCGAACAUAUAACAUAAUGUCCAGACCCAAAAAUAAAAAAUAAAAAAUUGACAAAACGGGAUCUGAUCUCAAGUUGCGCUUUUAAUUAACACUAGCCAUCAUUUGUAUUCGUCUUGUCUAGGGAAUAUUGAACGAGCGGGUGCCAUCUUCUUUAAUUAAAUUAACAUUUCCCGGCACAUCUCUUCCCUAAAUCUUAAUGUUUUGGCAAAUUUUUUAGCUUAUCUCGCGUUGCAUUUGUUUAUUAUGGACGGCUCAGUGGUUUUCUGGCAAAAUAGAUGGAAUUUGAACAAGAAAAGAAAAGAUUAUGGGAUGCCUAUCCGCUUCCUGUUUAAUUAGUAGUUAAUGACGUUCUUUGAGGUCUUACAAUAAUAGCUUUUUUCGCGUAUUGCAUGUUAAACGGAUCUAAUAAUGAUGCCAAGAUAAUAUACCCUCUUGUAGCUCUACAUCGUAAGAGCUGUGCGAUCUAGUAACCAGCAAGGAAAACAAAUUUUUUUAUUUAAUGGAAAAUGCUUAGUAUGGACCCAGUUUGUUAGUCGACCGGCCGUCAUAGUCGUUGACUGUGCAUGUAGGCCCCCAUGGGGUCCCAAGCAAGACCCAUAUGGUGGAUGAUUGUAAUGAAUCCGAUCCAUAUAGAUUAGAGUCUAGAUUAGACGGAUGUUAUUUCAUUUGUAUUUUCAUUCACAUCCUAAUUACCUUCGGUGACAUAAAUCGUUUUCACCUGUAAGAGUAAUAUAUGAUCACACAUGCGAUUGGACCAAUUUAAUAUGAGGACCCGAAGUAAACAUAAUCAUGGAAAACGACAAGCAAAAUGAAAAUGAUGAAUAAUAAAUUUAUGUUAUGAUAUUAUCUUAGAUAAUUGUCAUUUUCUAGGGUUUAGAUACAUAGUCAAAAUAUAUUAAAUAUUUGAUUAGAUCUUGACGUAAGAUCAAACAAGGGAAGAUACCAAAAACAUUAUUCACAUCUCCCCCAACAAACCACUUUAGCACAUUUAUUUUUAUAAAUACCAUUGGCACACCUCUAUACAAAACUCACAUUGAAAAUAUCAAAUUCCUUCUCUUCACAAACUCCUCGUUAUCUUGAUUAAGAUCUGGGUGGUUUGUCUUUGAAUGUUUUGAGUAAGUGUAAGAAUUUAAGGUUUGGGGAUGUGAAUUUUUUUGUUGAAAGAAAAAGGUGCUUUUGUAAAUAGUAGACAUAACUAAUUGAGGCAAAGAUGUAAAGUGGCUUCUAAAAGAUAAAACUCAAGUAUAUAUCCGGUAUUUUUGGAAGUGGAGGAAUGUAAAUGACCACUGCAAAAUGAUAUUGGAUUGCUAUUUACAUACAUCUUUUACUCAAGCCUAAAGACUAGAGGCAUCAUUAUUUGUAGGUACAUAUUUGGCACAAAACUACACUAGCAUGCGCUAAAUAUUGAUGGCGUUACCGAAAGUGGCCAAGCAUUCGCCAUGAGUCCGUCAAAAGUAUGAGGUUAAAAAAAAUAUUUAUCGACAGUCGACUUCAUCUCUCUUGUUUGCGAGUCAAUAAAUUGCUAUGUCAAGCUAUCAAUGCUUUUCGGGGGGCUCAAAAAGAGACUAUAUAUUCCUCGAUUUUGCCCCCUCCACCACGAAACCAUCAUGUCAUUUUCAUCUCCUUUUCCCAUUAACUUUUUGACAUAUGGUCGAACAGGUGAUGGGCAUCUCAUGUCUAAAAAACAAGGCAUUGGGGGUUUGCUGACAUCAACGACACUAAUUUAAAGUUUUUCGACCGACAAGCUAAAUUCAUGGAAGCAUGUUAUUUUAACUUUAAAUCAGCAUAAGUCAAAAGAGUAAUGAUAGGAUGCGUAACUUACGAAUAAUUUUGAUAAGCAGCGCGGUAAACUAUAAACGAUGGGCCAUAUUCAAAUAUUUAAUGAGUGUCUCUCAUGUCAUUAUUUUAUAUACUGUCUAUCCUACUUAACACAAUGCCGCAACUCAACGCGUUACGAAGUAGAUGUAUCACCAAAUCUUAUUUUUCCUCAUGAAAGAAGCGUAUCAUGAUAUUCCGAGGAGAGAACAAUCAUGUUCAUUUGACAAUCUCGAGUCAAGGGUAAGGCGAUCCAUUGAUAAUCUGUUAUCGUAUGCACUGGUCGGGCAGAUAAAUUUUGAUGGGUGAGUUUUGAUUACACUUGGCCUUAGAUCAUCACGAAAUAUUUCAAAGAGUUUGCAAAUACUCAGCUUCUCAAUAGUGGCUCUCCCUUCCUCUCUCUUCUUCUCUUAACCUUUCUUGGUCGCUUCGACUUCUAGGGGGAAGGCUUUGAGUCAUUUGACUUAGCUCUCUCCCUCCCCUCUUAGUUGCUUUUCCUUUUAUUUUCUUCUUACUCUUUCGAUCUAGUUUUAGAUUUGUAAGCUUUGCAUUUUCUUUUUGAAAUAAUUUUUGAUUUUGAAGUUUUAAUGAAUAAGUACUUCGCCAGUUUCAAUGAUGUUCACGGUAGUUUCGAUGUCAAAUCUAUACUCAUUCAACGUGUUUUAGUCAUAAGUUUUGGUGCUUCGCAUUGGCUACAUGGCUUGCUCUUACAAAUGUUAGAUCUGAAAAUUUUCAAAAUAUUCAUGUGUCUCUGUACAAUUGAUGAUGUUGGGGACAUUGAAUCUAGGUGCACAUUGUCAAAAAGCAAAGACAUAACUACAAAUGGAGAUCCCGAUGCGUGCGUAUCACUAAUGAUGCUGUGUGAGGCCAUUGAUUCUUUCGCUUAGAUGUAGUCCCAUAUUUUUCAUUGAAGGAUGGGCCUCUAAUUCUUUCGGCCAACCAUACUCUGAUGGUUACGCCUUGAUAUCUGGUUUUUAGUUUGUUUUGGAAGUCUAUGGUCUCAUCUUGUUGCUGUGAGUUUUGAAAUUUUCUAUGACGUAUCAUUUUGAUAAUGAAUGGAGAUUUCUUUUGACAAGAAAGAAAUAGUGAAUAUUUGUAAAUGUCGGUGAUGAAAUGGGAAGCAGGUCCGGAAACUGCGCGAGUGCCUUACAUCGUAUAAGGACUAAAGGAGUCGGCUCCCUCGGAUAAAGGGAAUCCCAACCUGAGGUCAAGGCAUGCCUAAACUCUGUCACUUUAUCGUUGUUGUGCUUGUUUACAUUAAGCACCUUUAUUAUGAUCUCAUCAUUAUCACGCAUGUGUCUAACUUGAGCGCUAGAUGUUGCCCUCUAGGGGCUCAUCAUGCUCCUCUUGUGCUUUUAGGUGAUCGAUUUGUGGUACUUAGAAUCAGAAAUCAUACUAGAUCGGCCUUACAAAUUGGUCUGGUUCCCGAUUCUAAAGAAUUUGGAACUGGUGUCAUGCAAUCUAAUUCUUACUUCUCGGGUGGAAUCAAACUGAACUAGACAGAGAAAUAUAGAAUUGAAGAAUCAGACCGAACCAAGGUAACCCUAGAAUCAAUAGUAUCUAUGAUCUUUUCAUCGACUUCCAUACUAGUAUUAUCAAACUUUCACUAUCCGGAACACCAUUUCACUAAUGUUCUUUCUUUACUAGGAUUCGUUUUAAACUUGCUCUGGCGUCGAUGGAAGGUAUGUAUCCAUUAGAACCCACCCGCAGCAUAAAUGUAUAUCAUUUUCGGGUGACAUAUCUGCCAACCGAAUGCUUCUAUUAUAUCAAUCAUCCGGUAAGAUUCAAACUCAAUCCAAUCUAAUGAAACAUAAAUUUACAGGAACCACACCCGAAUGUCAAGCUCCAGCCCAGUAAAAUCCAUUAGGCUCGCUUAUCCUCUCAGGAAGUGUGUGGGCCAAAUUUGGCCCAUUGGGCUUGUUAGGACCUGAACGUUGAAGGGUUGUGUGGUGCAGGCCUAGCUUAGCCCUUGCUGCUAUUGAAAAAUUUCCGUCAAGUCCAUGGUCGAUCCGAAUUUCACAAUCAAGUCCCUCCCACCGACGCCUCUCGUCGCUCCCUGUGCCCAAUAACCAGUGCGACGCUAUGGACGAAUCAUGUGGCGCCACGUCAUCCAGACAGAAAAAAUCUUAAGAUUGCACUGAAGGCUCGCGUGAUCCCCGUGCAUGGUAAUGGUGUACUUUUUUUUUUUGGUUUUAGAUUCCGUUUAUUUCAUGAAAACCGAAUAAUUUUUAAUAUUUUAAAAUGAUUAUUUAUAUCACUUACAAAAAUGAAUGAACAAAAAAUACUUUCAUUUUUAUUGUUUAUGAAAAUGUUUAGAUGUAAAUUAUCGUUGAUAAUAAAAAUAUUUUCCAUUGAGUGAUUAUUUUAAAUUAUAUAAAUGAUUGUUUUUAGGAAAAUAUUAUUUUAAAUAAUUCAUUUUUUUUAAAUAAAUUGAACGUUGAAAAAAAAUCCAUGAGACACAGCCAACAUACAUGUAUAUGCGCCCUUAACAUCUACCCAACAAAAAAAAAAGCAUCCAUUAUUUGGCAACAUAAUAAUUUUAGAGUAAUGGUGUGACCCGUCUUUAAAUAAUUUAUUUAAUAAAUAAUGUGGCAAAACUCAGAGACUUCAAUGCGUUCACUAACUUCAAUAAUCACUUAUAAACUAUCUGAACUGAUUUGGUUCGCAAGUUUUAACAUCCCCGAUAUUAGUCUUAAUCUAAACACCAUAAAAUUUUCAUGACGGGAAGGCCUUGAGUUGUGAACAUAACACGGACGUCCUCGUGACUGUCAAGGGUACUUCCAGUUCCAACCGAUUAACUUGUGUUAACAUGCAAUCUUUAACACGAAAAGAUAUAUGUAAAAAUUUAUGGAACGAAAAGGAAAACCAAAUUUCAAUUUAGUUUAGCAAUUCUUAAAUUCCAGUCUCAAUCAGGUUCCUUAACCCAGCUGAUUAACCCAUUCCCAUGGGUCCCCCAAGAUAGGUUCAGCCCUUGCCGGUCCGCCUAGCCGCGACAAUCUCCUACAAUCGCCAUCAUCGGUCGAGGGGUCUCUGGUUAGGCACCUGCACUAAUCAUGAUGAUGGCGAUUAUGUCGUUGAAAGGAACUCGGUAUUGACUUUUGCCCUUGACUAGAUUCUCUCUCUCUUCCGCGUGGGGGAGAUCGGCGUCGGCAGUUGUGAUCUUGAAAGGCGGAAGGAGACGGAUAUCGCCAAGUCUUCGUUCAAACUCUAGCUUACCUGUUUCCGAAUGGACCCAAAAGCCAAAAAGCUCCUCUUUCCGUCGACUCAGUCAAAACUAGACACAGAAGAGAGAGAGAGAGAGAGAAAGAGGGGAGAAAGCUCAUUGAGAUGGAAGCUUUGUCAACUGUCCAUUUACCCCUUUAUUGCAAAGGGAAAGCUCGCUUUGUGGCCAAAGAGAAUCCAAUGGAUCUUCCAUCUUUGCCUUCUGCUUUUGCCACCAUCUUCGAUCCGCGGGCGAAUAAAGAUUUGAUCCUUAGGUUUCUUUCCCUCCCUGGAUUGGAUGGUGUCGUUGCGGUCUGGAAUGAAUUCUCUUGAUUCAGGGACGGUAUCGAAAGCCGAAGAGGGUUGAUGGCUUUCUGCUAUAGAAAACAAGUAUAUGUUGCAGCGAAAAUUAUGACGACAAAGUAACGAGUUGUAAAACGUGCAAACCCUACAUCACAUGGAAAAACACUAUGAUGCGAUAUAUAAUGUCAUUAUACACUAUGCUCUUUAUGAGCAUAGAAGAGGUCUGUAGUUAAUGGCGAGUCGACCCAAAUACUCUAAUCUUUGAAUUUCUUCCGGUAAGGGCAUAUUCAGUUCAUUCUUCUUUCCUGGAGAAAUCAUAAUGAACCCGAGAUUAUCAUAUCUCCCCACCAAAUUCUACGACCAGCUAGCCGCGUGCCUGUUGAAAUGGAAUCCAAAAGAAAGAGAAAAUGGGUGGGAAAGGUCGUGCAGAUAAUGGCUAGAUUCUCUGACCUUUAAUGGUUGCUAUUUUUCCAAACCUACGGCAACCUAGAUUUGGCAUGUACAAGGUAAAAUCUAACCGGAACCAGGGCGGAUGAGCAAAAACUUGUCGCCAGUGCAACCCCACAUAUACCUUGGAUGGUAAUAAGCAAGGUAGAAUAUGGAAUAUCUGGAAUUUCUGCAAUUGGAAUGUCUUGAAUAAAUGGAUUUUUAUAUCACUUGACGCGGACUUUCCUUUUAGAUAUGGACCUUAUCGCGGGCUCCAAAGCCAUCGCGCUCUACUGUUGUCUUUGUUUUGCCUCGUCGUCUAUAAAAAAGUCAAGCGCUCACAUUUCCUGAGCGCUCUCUCCUCUUCCUAGUUUCAUCGUCAUUUCUCUCCCAUGGAGGAGCUGGGCUCUCUUUGGAGUCACCCACAUGUAAGUCCCGUUGCAUUCUCAUCGUCGCCGAUCUUCCUUGCUUUGAUGUGUCUUUCGAUGUGCGUAUACCAUUAACUUCUGCUAGAACUGUUCGUCUCUUGUUUACAUGCUUCUGUUUUCCGGCCGACUAUUAGGACGCAAUGCCUUGUUUUGUCGGAAACUCGAAUGUUAAGGAAAAAUGGCGGACUUUCGACAGUAGUUACAUAGGACUAGGAUUUCAACAAAAGGGAAGAGGAAGAGGAUAUUUAGAGUGAAUUUGCUUCUUCUAGCUUCAGCCGAAGCAUCUCAUUCAUACAAUUUCUCAUGCAUACCUCAGUUUCUUAUGGCGUCGUCGUCCUGUGGCAUCAGUUUUUGCUUUAUAUUUUUCUGUGGCAUUAGUUGGCAAGGUAGGACGCGUUCAUUUUUGUCUCCGUUUAUUGAGGUGAGCAACCACUGCAAAAUUAGCCAUAAGAGAGUUGGAUUUAGACAGUCGAGUCUGUACUGAAACCUACAUUAAGUACGAAAGAAAAUUGCCAAAUGCAAUGUAGUCUGCUCAUCGCGACUCGAUCUGCCUGUCGAGUCAACCAGUUUCUCCGAAAUGGAGUCUCAAUUGACCACAAAAGUGAGGAUCUGAAUGCAUCGAUUGGCCGUUGCAACAUACUACUCAAUCCGAGUUUGAAAUUGUAGUCGCAAGAGUAGAUAUUUAGGGAACUCUCGAUCCUCGUUGCAGAAUCUUAAGCAUUUCAAAGGGGUCGGUCGGGGUCCCUAUCUUGUCUGCAUGUUUUUUUCUGUCAUUGGUUGAAAGCAUUGACUUUUAGUUUGAUAUUUCUUUUUUGUUGCAAUAAUUAAGUAGUUUUUUUUCUUUCUAUUUCUCUGCAUGUCUAUCUUUUAUUGUUCUUUAUCUGUUGAAAUCCUGUUUCCGAUAAUGCAGUGAAUAGAGUAAAUCAGGAGGCAGAUUCUUCGUGAUGAAUCAAUCUUCUUAUGAUCCUUUAUUCAAUUACGCACAGAAGCUAACGCAUUGUUUCCGUCUUUCAUAUUUUUCAAUUUGACAGAGCAUGGAUGAACUGAAGCAGAUGAUCUUGUAUAACACCACUGAACUCGAGUCUGAGAAAACGAAAGCUUUCGAGGAAAUGAGAAAGAACAAGGAGAAUCUGAUGCAUCUGCUUCGACUCCUGAAAACAGCUUACCAGGAAAGAGAUGAAGCAAGAAAUCAGCUGCAGAAACUCCUCAGAAACGUCACUCCUAGUCCUUGUCCUUCAGGUCUCCAAUGGAGCUUCCUAGCACCACUAAAAGCGAACGCAGUGACAAGCCGAACCCAUCACACCCCUGAAUCAAAUGGCUACUAUCUACGACACCACUCUUCUGCCUCUCAUUUUCCACUCGAGGCGACUCCUCUGUCGGAUUUCUUGAAUGCCGACAUGGCCAGUUCCAGUAACGAUCCGUGCAGCGUCUCUUGCACUCCGGGUUUUUUAAAUUCAGGAAAAGCCAAUACUCUCAAUCGAGCUUCGGAUGUGAUUGACGAUCUUGUUGUGGGAAAAGCACUUCCUGAGAAAGGCAAGCUCUUACAGGCCGUGAUGGAAGCAGGUCCACUCCUGCAGACGCUUAUUUGGUCCGGGACUCUUCCUAGGUGGAGGAAUCCUCCUCCCCUGAAACCCUUCAGCAUUCCACCAGUUAACAUCACUGGUUAUGACCCCUUUUCGAGCGUGCAGGCUCACAUUUCGGACUCUAGUCGCGCGAUUCAGAGAUUCACGAGCCCGUCGCCAAAUUUUGAAGCACCAGAAGUGGCUCCUGGGACUCGCUCGGGGUCAAUGCUUAAUUUUAUUGGUAGUUAUUCUGGUUCGCCCCAAGGGAACAGCCAGACUUUGUCAGCGGGUGUUAGCAUUACGACCAACAGCCACUUACGAACUAGCCAUAAACGUCGGAAACUUCAAUGAAGUCGCUGAACUUUUUUCUUGAUAGGAAAUAUUACCGAAAUUUGGUAGUUAUUUUUCAUUAGAUAAACCUAAAAGGGCCCCCCUUCGUGCCUUGAGGUUUAGAACUGUAAAUGCACUAAUCAAUUGUUAUAGCCAGUUUUAAAGAUAGUGCUGGAUUCGUUGUGCUUCCUGCUUCAUACAAAAAGCAAACAUGUUUAGCACCGGCUGUUUCGUUUCUUUUGUUUCAAACCAUAUGUUAAUUCCCCAAUUAUGUGAUAGUAAGUAAAUCAGGAAUAGCGAUAGCAGGAUCCUGACACACAAACUAGAAAGGCCUAGGCACAUUAAUGAAAUGAUAAAAUGAGUAACCUUUUCUAAAGGGGCCAACUAGGAGCACAAACAUUACCCCUUGGUUAGUGAUGGAACAGCUUUUGUCUGAGUAUAGUUUGCUUAACUAUGACUAGGUUGAAAUGCUCCAGGCAUGACAAAAUUAAUCGGUUCACUUCAAAGCAAUCAAACACUAAACACUUGACAGGAGAAAGGAUGGAUGGACACCAUCAGAAAGCGGCAUUCGAGUUGAGUUAAUGUAGAAGAAACAUAUGCACUUACGACUGAUUUGCUCAAUGCAAAUCUAAUCACUCCACUUCAAAUCUGAAUUUUCAGAGCGCCAAAAAUAUUUUAACUAACAGUAGCAUCAAAUUACAAAUAAGUCCAUUCUCAACUCCUCAACAAAAUUGUCUUAACACUAAGAGAAGAAUGGUGAUCAGACUGAAAAAACAAUUCCAACUUAGAUAAUGCCGAUUUUGUUCGCCACAUCCAGAGCAUCAAAGUCCGGAGUAAGCCUAACAUAUGCCUUCUUCGUACCAUCAGGCCUGCAUCACAAUAAUGAUUCACAUUAGUCCCGUUAUUUUCAAAAUUAAAAGGAACAGAGAACAAGUCGCACUACCAAAAAGCAAAUUGAAAGACAACCAAAAACUGGUUUGGAAGAUAGAAGAGGUAAACAGAUUCUUACUUUGAUGGAUUAAAGCAGUUCAUACAAGAAAACUGCCUCAAGGCAAAACGAACACUCAUAGAAUGGCAUAUGAACACAGUUCAACACAUCAAAGACGGACACAAAACAAUAGGCUUUGACACAAGCACAUAAAAUCCAUAGGUGAACCAAAAUGGUCUACUGCUAGUCCAGUGGGUAUUUUUACCCCCUUCAGUGAAAUGCAUGUCCACAUUCUAUAAGAUUCAGAGAUAUUUAUCGAUAAAAUCUAAGUUAACAGAAAUAUAAACAAUCACAACAACCAUGCCACAUUAAAGUUCACACAAAACCAUAUAGCAAGAACUUAAAAUUAACGAAGAGAUAGACAACAUGAAUAUGUGUUUAUGUGAACCCAUGUAGCCAGCUCUUAUUCACAUUAACAACUACCCAAGGAGGAAUGCUUUUAUUCAUUGGCAACAAACUAACAUAAACCAAUUUAUGCACCUAUCAAUUAUCUAGAUAAACUUCACGAUACUUAGGUAGGUUGCCAAGCUGAAAUGGUCGUACAUACAUAAGCAACUACGGAGGAAUUACCUGAUCAAGGUGUUGACUUUCUUGGCCUGAAUAUCAUACAUUUUCUGGACUGCAUCCUUGAUCUUUUUCUAUCAGCUCGGAUGUCUUACAAUGAAAACCAAAGUAUUGUUAUCCUCAAUCCUCUUCAUCGCAGACUCCGUAGUGAGGGGAUACUUGAGGAUCUGAUAAUGGUCAAGCUUGUUCCUCGGUGGAGCGCUGAUGCGAGGAUACUUGGGGUUUCUGUCCUUCUUCAGGGUCCUUGGCCUGUGAAAGGUAACUGAAGUCCGGAUCUUCUUUGCCUUCUUCUUAAAGGUUGGUCCCGACUUGACUGCCUUCGCAGCCUUCAAGGCCUGAGCCUUCGGAUCAGACUUCUUCACAUUGUCACCUGCAGGUGACAAGACACAUAAGAUGGGUUCCUAAGGUUGAAAUCACAAUCAGAAACCCUCAAAUAGUCUGAUAGAGAGCAUGUUUGGCGGUGAAACGCUCCAACAACAAACCAACUAUCCCCAGACAAAAUUACACGACAGACAUGGUCACUUUCAGUUCAUGUAGCAAUGACACAGUCACAAGUUGCAGAGGGGAGCUUUUAGCCUCAAGAACAGCAGGAAUUAUAGCUCCCACAUCCGCCACAUAUCCGAAUCAAUCUACCCGAUAAUUUCAAAUACCAAGAACCGCCAAUAUCUACCAAACGACAGAAGCCCAGAAAUCCACAAUCAUUGGUAAAAGGCAAAAACCAAAACGAGCGUGACCAUAGGGUAAAGCGACCGGGUCAGGUGCACUUCACAGACACCGGGCGACGGCAUCUUGCGAUUGGCCGAGGCAGCGAAGGAACCACAAACCAUCGUGGCAGUAUUUCCAAGCUGCGACACCGGCGAAUGUUCCCAAACCCAACGCCCUCUGCCGAGCUAAAUCGGCACUACUACGGAGCCGAGCUAAAACGCGGCACGAGGCGAAAUGUCGAUCCGUGCCGCUAAAACAUCGUCGCCGGUCACGACAGUAACGAAGCUCGUUCACUAGAUAUCGAGCGACGCCGCGCGCAUACACGCGGAUAGACGGGGAGUACGAAUGGGGGAAUUCGAGGUACCUUUAGGAGGGGCCAUGGCGGCUGGAUAAGGUCCUUCUGAAACCCUCUGGAUCCUGCGAAAACCCUAACGACAAAUGCAAGACAAGAAACCAUCAGUACAACUUCCAUCGGCGUGAAAGACAUUGCUUGCGAGAGAAAGAAAGAGAGAGAGAGACCUACGGCCGGUGGACUGGUUCAGAGAGGUCGCCUAGGGUUUUUCUCGGAGGGAGAAGAAGAUGGGGAUUAUAUAAGAAGGGGCCACCCACUUAUUGGGCCGCUUGAGCUUUUCGGCCCAUUCUAUUCGGCCCACAUAUUGGGAGCUUCGGUUCGUGCACGUUAGAGAUCCAUGCUGCUCUCCCUUGACAGUUGGGAAAAACAUGAAAUUGAAUUCCGCGGUAAAAAUAUAGUCAUAAAACAACAACAAUAAAAGCAAAAAAAAAAAAAAAAAAUUGAUUACCGCCUCCAAACAAUCUGUGUAUCGUAGAUAUGUUCAGCACUCUUAUGAUUUGAAAAAGAUAGGAAAGCCAUCGGACAUUUUGGUUUUCCUUACUAUUUCUAUGUGAACAUGAAUUUUCUUGUACUCAAAUUCGCUAUAAAACUUCAUGAUUUGAAUUGAAACAUUCGGGAAUUGCAUCACAAAAAAUUUGUCGACCAAUCUAGAGUGAAGCUAGAAGAGAAAUGGCAUCUAAGAUCUAUGACUUCUUGUUAGUAUGUCGUGGCUCAGAAACUUAUGCAAACUGGUAUGUUCUCUGAUUGAGGCCUUCAAGGGAGAUCUUGAUGUGAAAUUCACAUCAAAUGAGCAACAUUGAGCAUUGGAUAUUGACCAAGGCAUACGUUUCAAAGAUAUCUUUAGAAGUUAGAACAUGUUCAAAUGUUGGCAUUUGCUGAUCAGAGACACGAAACAUAAAAGAAAAGACGGAAGGAAAAAUGGGAUUUUGAUAAAUGAGAGUAUAAUUACAGAUAUGUACGUAAAUAUAGAAACUUGCGUUUUCUAUGCUCAUACAUCAAAGUGUGCUUUGAUUGAUCACCCCUAUCCAUCCUCCAUCGUCCGUAGUUUCAUUGAAUGCCUAAGCAGGAACAAGCGGUCGAUGAAUUUCGUCGCCGACUCAAAAGUUCCAGCUCUUUAAGAUAUGGACGAGCACCUGUCGGCAUUAUCCAGGCCGUGUACCAUUCAUGAAGACCCCGUCGAGUUGUCGUCGCCCAUAUUCGGAUCGACGAAUCCGGAAAGCGGUUCCUGAAUGUCGGACCCGUAGAUAUGGCCCAUUUUCAUGCGCUUCGUCUCCAGGUAUCUCUUGUUUUCCGCCGUGAUGGAUGUCAGCACCGGAACCCGGCCGAUGACAGCUAAUCCAUAGCCCUUCAGGCCGGUGAACUUGGCCGGGUUGUUGGUCAUCAGCCGCAUGGUCCGGACUCCAACAUCUCUCAGGAUCUGAUCCAUUUUCAACGUUGCAGAAUUUAGAGAAGCACGGUGAACAGACAGUACAUGGCAUGGCAAAAGUAUAUAAUCAAUUGACUUGCAAAUCAAAGGCUAUUCCUUUCGUAGGUGAUCUGUAGAAAGUUAUCUUUCGCAGUAUGGUUCUUAGUUAGAAGAUCAGCAGAAAUUGCAGAUGCUUCAGUAUCAUCUUCCUUCUCAGGUUAUAUCAUUUCGUAUCACAUGCAUCAAUCUAACCUUGCUAAUGAUGUGACUGAGCUAAGAGGAGGAGGUAAAAUAUACGGACCUGGGCACCGAUGCCGUAUUCUCUAGCAUCGAUGGCUAACCCGAGUUCUAGAUUGGCCUGAACCGUAUCAUGGCCUUGGUCCUGCAAGUUGUAUGCCUGCAGCUUAUGUCCCAGGCCGAUCCCCCUUCCUUCGUGACCUCGGAGAUAGACUACGGCUCCCCUCCCGGCCUUCUCUAUCAGCUGCAUUGCCAACUCCAGUUGGUUCCCGCAGUCACACCGGCCCGACCCGAAUAUAUCCCCCGUUAAACACUCAGAGUGAACCCUCACUAGGACGUCUUCCCCAUUACCAAUGUUCCCCUGAUUAUCCAUCGAGCAAAAGCAUUAAACCAAUCAACGGACUAGGGAAAACAGAGGAAGCGAACUUAUAACUCGCAUGCUACCUUUACAACAGCGAUGUGUUCUGUCCCGUCGAGCUUGGAGCGGUAGCAGUAAGCUUGGAAUAAUCCCCACUUAGUGGGCAAACGCGAUAUGGCAGUUCUUUCGACCAGUUUUUCCCUCUUUCUUCGGUACCUGAGAGAAGAACCCCACCACCAAUCACGAGUAUUAAGGAAAAGGAUGAUCUCUCAUUACCGGAAAACAGAUCAAAUUACGUUGUCUCCAAGUUACUGCAUAUGCAGUAGAUUAAUGUCAUGAAAUUUUGACAGUUUGAAUGAUAGCGAAUUCCAAGCAUCAUCCGGUAAGUAAGAUGAGCUCCUAUAUAAAAAAUUUCAGGCCGAGUCAAUGUUUUUGUGUAAAAUGUUAACCUUUCUAUAUGGCGAAUUCUGCCGUUCAAUCUCUUUCGGGCAAUUUUGUCUCAGCAAAGGAAGAUUGUGGAUGUGGUAGAAAAGAGAACUUUGGGUAAAUUGAAGGGACAGACUAUUGUAAGGAAUGAUGCUGUCACCUGAUCAAAUCUGUUAUCGAAACAACUGGAAGGCUGUACUGCAAUGCCAGCUUUCUCAAGCUGGGAAGCGAAGCCAUGGAACCGUCUUCUGCAUCCAUUACGGCCGUAAGAAGAGAAACUGGUCGCAGGCCGGCAAGCAUAACUAAGUCCACUGAAGCCUCGGUAUGACCGGCCCUUCUCAGGACACCCCCAUUUCGGUACUUGAGGGGAAACACGUGGCCCGGCCUUCUGAAGUCUUCUGGCUUGGACUCGGGAGAUGAAAGAGCGAGAACCGUCCUCGCCCUAUCGAAAGCAGAAACCCCUGUUGACGAGCCCGAUUUCGCAUCCUGCACAGGCACAAGACGUAACUGGCAUUGUCUUUAUCGUCGUUAACUACCUUCAACAGCUUUCUAAAGUGGCAGAUACAGUCAAUGCGUGCAUAGAAACUCAAGAAUGCUGCAUGCUUUAAGGCGAUACCACAGUGAUCGUGAAGGUGGGAGCAGACGAGUCCUCUUCCUCGGUCUCAGGCGACAUAAGAGGAAGCUUCAGUCUCUGCAGAUCCUCCUCUUUCAUGCCGACAGAGAUUAUUCCAGAACCGUGCCUCACCAUGAAGGCUACAUCGCGAGGACUCGUAAGAGUGGCUGCCAUGACAAGGUUUCCUUCAAUAUUCCCACUUUCAUCAUCUACCACAAUCACAAUCUAAGAACGGGCAAUGAUGGUCAACAGUAUGUUCAUCUUGCUCAGGCCAAGUACAAAAAGGAAGAAGAAAAGGUGCAUCGAGUUUGGAAUUUAACAGAUAUCUCUUCAUAAUUGUGGAAUCCAUUACAAAAUUUUGUAAGAUUUACUAAUAUUGUUCAUCUAAUGUCUGUCUUCUUCAUUGACAACAAGCAUCAUGCAUCAGUUGCAGGCUCAGGGAUACGAAUAGUUAACUUUCUUCUGCAUAAACUCUCUAGUGGUAGAGUACUGAAACGGAAUCUGUGGAAGCAAAGCGAAGCAACUAGCGUGUUUACUGACCUUUCCUUCGCGCAAAGAAUUAAUCGCCUGCUCGAUCGAAGAAUACCCUUCUGACGGGCUAUCGGGGUCACCCUCGGCAUCACUGACGAAGAAAUCAAUGGUCUCCUGUGUGAUCUCGGCCUCCACAGUCCCGAAUGGCACUGAGGCCGAGCCGUCGAGGGCGCUCAACAAAGAACCAUUUUCACUUCCCUUCAGCGAGCUCUUGCCUAAUAGGUCUCCCGAAUCGCUUCGGACAGCCCAACAAGCGGAGCUCAACCCCUGCCGCUGGUACCCUCGGAUCCUCGUGCUCUGAUGAGCUGCGAGAAGCACACGAACACUGCAACAACAGAACAAGAACCCCGACAUUAUCGUCACAAAAGGGUGAGCGAAACAAGCCGUUGUUUGAGCAAGUUCGACCUCGACUUGACCGCGACGUGAGGGGAGAAAGGAGGCGGGAACAGAAUGCAUUCCAUGAGCCGCAACAGAAGCUCAGAAGACGUGCCUUGAAGAUUGGAUCUUGCUGUUCUGUCCGGUCUCUCGAUGAACUUGCCUUCAUAAUUUCGCGUGUUGCGUGCAUAUAACGCAGAAAAGUACGGCCUUUGGUUGUGGAUAUAUGCUCGUGGACGUCGCCGAGACCGUUAUCCGGAAGUUUUAACUAGAACUGUACGGAUAGAAUCACCAAUGCAGUACAAGGUUUAACUAGCUUCUCAAGUUGUACUUCUUUUCUCUUUUCCGAUGCUUCGUGUUUUUUUCCUAAAGGAUGAUGACGGCGCUGAAUUUUUUUUUCAAUGUUGAAUGUACUCCUAAACAUUAAUUUUAAUUUGAUCUAGCCUCUUAAAUCUUCUAAAUUAAUUCAACGUAGUCCUUUCGUCAAAUGCAUUUCCAAUUUCGUGCGGUAUUUCUUGACAUCAUUGCCAUGUAUGCUCAAGUGGCCCUAGGGGUGUGCAAAAUACCCGAGAACCGCCCGGAACCGGACCGGAACCGCCCGGAACUGGCGGUUCUUGAGGGAACCGGUCCGGUUACCGGUUCCAAUUUAUGGGAACCGGUGGGUACCGGUCCGGUUCCCGGUUCCAUGGGCAGAUCCGCCCGCCCGCCCACCUGGACCGGACCGGAACCUUUUUAAUAUUAAAAAAAAAAUUACUAAAAGAAAUCCUAUAUCUCAUCUCACUCCCUUCGUCUUCGGCUCCUAAUCCUAUCACCAUUUCGUUGCGUUUACUUCUCCCGCCGUCCGCAUCUCUAUGUACUUAAAUUUGGUUUUUCUUUCUUUGGCUUGCUUUGAUGUCAUGUAAUUGUUCUAUGUUGAAAACCAAAAUUGUUUCGCAUCAAGAUCGGUUUCAUGGAUCCACCCAGGAACCGGAUCAGACCGACGGUCCGGUUCUCGGGUGGAUCCAUGCAGCAAACGGGUGGAGCCCGGUUCCAAUUUUUCGGAACCGGUCCUUAGCGGGUGGUUCUCGGUUCUAGGUCGGGAACCGCCCACCCGGAUCAUGCACACCCCUAAGUGGCCCGGUCCAUGUCGUUGUGGGUUAAUUUCUUAUUAGGAUUCGUCAUAUAAUCACAAAGAAAAUAAAAAGCAAAAAUUUGAGAUGCAAGAUUUAAUCAUUAUUCACUCUUAAAUUAGGAUUAUAUGCAACUAAAGAUUCCAUUAGAAUUAGUAUCUCGAAACUCUAUAAUAUAUUUUUUAUUACCAAAAAAAAAAACUCUAUAUUAUAUUUCUCAAUUUAUAAGAGAAAAGAGAAUAUAUAUAUAUAUAGUAGAUAUUCAUGGAUUCAAAUCCAAACUACGAAUAAAAUAUAAAUAUAAAUUAUAAAAACCUCUGGCGUCACAAGGCAUUGCUGCUGCGACUUAGCCAGGGUAGCUCCAGACCCUCGCGCCAUCCUAUCCAAGAAAAGUAAGCCCCAACAUUUCCAAGCACUAAUAAGAUCGUGCCGUGCAUGUGCAUUUGACGUCAUUUGCUAUUUUAAAAAACAAAUUUAAUGCCACGAACGUAAAUAUAUUUGUUAUCAAAAUUGAUUUUCGAUUACAUCAUGACAAUCUCAAAAUUAUCAUCCCAACCUCGUAAUAUCAUGGAGUUCUGUAAUGCUUUGAGUCCCAUAUCGAUCGUCUUAUAAGGUGGUUUAUAAGUAAGACGUACUACUAAGUACCAUCAUCUUGAGUACUUUUGAAGACCUUAAUCCAUGCGUCAACAAGUUAGGCCGUUACAUUUAGGCUUCUCAAUAGUAUGUUUUCCUUUUCAUAAUAAUGACUCGAACAAGGUACGGGUUACGGGCCACAACAUAGAGGUCCAACGCACGCUCGGCAAUGCCCUUAUUGCAUCAGAGAUGGAGGUGAAUCUGAUUCUUUCCAGAAUCGAGGUGAAUCACCCAAAAAAAAACAAACACAGUCCCUACUCUGUCCGAAUCAUACUCACCAGUCACCACGAAAUAAUCUGGUUGGGAGAAUCCAAAAGCGCCUGCAAUAGCCAUUCAAGGCUACCCACAAUCUCUAAGUGCUCGUUCCGAUAUAAAUAGUUACGUUUGGCAUUCAAAAUAAAAUUCAAAUAUCAUAUCCUUCUCUUGUUACCUACUUAAGAUAAAAUAAAGUUUGAUAUAAAAGAAAUAUAGACCGGAUAAAAUUAUUUCAUAGGUGAGGUGAGAUAAAGAUGUAUAGGAUUUUUAAUAUUCAUAAUAGGAAAGUUAUUUUUUUAUUAACAAAAUUAAAAUUAUAUUUCAAUAUAGAGGAUAUUUGAAUUCUAAUACAAUAAAUUCAAAAUAACAAAAAAUAUCGAUUUAGUUAUUUUAAUUUAUUCUUAUUUUUAUUUAUAUACUCAAAUUUAAUUAUAUUUUAUAAUAUAAAGUCAAUAUAUAAAUAUAAAUAUAUAUUUAUAUUUUUUACAUAUUUUAAAUAUUUCAGUUUCUAGGUAUAUUGGUACAGUUUACUAUUUAAUAAAAUUUUAUUAUAGGAUGAUAUGUUGGAAGAUAUGAAGAUAUGAUUUUGUAAUCUCUUGUAAUAGGAAAUCAAAUAUACUCAAAUGUACUUUAGGAUAGAAGAAGAUAGGCAAAUAUAGAAUUACCUUUAUUACUUUCCUUCAUUCUAAUUAAAUACAGAGUUACAUGUACAGAAUCAUUCAAUGAAAAGAAGAUAAUUGCUUCUUCGCCUUUGCUCUGUCUUCCGAAUACCUUCUUCUUCUUCCUUUUCUGACAUGGUAUCAGAGCCUCUCUGGUUCUGAAUUGAUUUACUUCCGCUUCCGAUUGCCUCAUACUCCAAUCUCGAAUUUUCAAAAAAAGCGUUGCCAAAGGAAUCAAAGUCCUUGAUUGCCUGAAGGAACUGCAUCUGCAAAGAGGAGAUAAUAGAGGAAUCAAAAUUCUUUUUCAACAUGUCUAUACCACCAGAUCGCACCUUUACUCCCAUUGAUGAAUCUUCAUCAGAAGCUUCGAUGCGAGCCUUGGGAGACCAAGAUCCAGCUGCUAUAGUCCCUGCAUCAUAACGGCAACAACAAAUUCAGGGCCAACCUCCGCACGUGCCAUGGCAACAACAGGCUCAGGCAAUUACAGGGCAACCAUUCGCAGGUCACCCUUACCAAUGGAUGCCAUAUCCAUGGUAUCCUGGGCCUAUCCCCAAUGCAUCAUUGCUUGGCUACCACAGCAGCGCGCGGGCUGAAGCAGGUCCACCAACCAGUGACGGGGCAAACCCUAGCAUCAGCCCGGAGCAGACGGGCGGAUCACCUAUACCAGGUCAGGGAUUUCAGAAUGCGGACUACGGAUUUGGCCUCAGGGGUUCGGGUCAGGGAACGAAUCCCUACCCAACUCGUGCACCGGGUUUCUCCCCGUAUCAGUUCCUCACUACCAGUGGCCGGCCGGAACCUGGCGAUCCAUUAUACACAACAAAUGGCGAUGGCCCAAAACUGAAGAUUAUAAGUCAACAAUUGACAGGUGCAGAUAAUUAUUCAAGUUGGUCGCGCGAGUUCCGGCAGGUACUCAUAACAAAAGACAAGGAGGUUUUCAUCGACGGAUUGUUUCCGAUUCCGUCCAACGAGAGAAUGGCACGAAUCUGGAGGCGAUGCAGUCAACUGGUAAGAACCUGGAUUGGGAACUGCAUCGCAACCGAGAUCGCGGCCGGGCUUCCCCCGACGGAGGAUCCGAAAAAAAUGUGGGAAAACAUUAGGGAGAUGUAUGGAAAACUCGAUCAAGUGAAAUUUUUUUACAUAACACAGCAAAUUUCAUAUCUGAAACAGGGGAACAUGAGCAUCGCAACAGUAUACAACAAGCUCUCGAGUCUGUGGAAUGAGUUGGAGGCAGCCGAGGAAAAAUUCGACUGGCCCGAUAACAUCCAACAACAAUACAAGCAGAUGCGAGAAAGGGAGAAAGCAACGAGAUUUCUUCUCAUCCUCAACGAAACUUACAUGUCUUUCCGAUCUCAUAUACUCACCAUGGAGCCUCUACCAAGUUUCGGCCGGAUCUAUCAACUCGCCAUACAAGAGGAGAGCCAACAGAGAUCGGCGGACCAUGGCAAAGGAGGAGAUGGAAUUACUCUGGCUGCGAAGACCCAUUUUUGUUCGACACAGAGAGGUUCGGGGAGGAGAGAGACGGAUCUAGGGUUUGUUUUCGAAAGCAAAAACCCUAGGGCCCUUAUAAAUAGAAGCGCGGACGGUGGAGAUCAAUUCCACUACCAAUCGGACGGUUCGCGCUCGAUCCAGGGGGCGACAGGAUCGGACGGUCCGCGUGGGAUCAUCUCCGCUUCAUCCGACGGCUCACGUUCCGCUUCAUCCAACGGCUCCCGCAGCGCUUAUCUAAUCGGAUCAGACGGCUACCGAUCAACUGGCACCAAUGGGCUAGAUGGCACGCGCGGCCCACUUCUUGGAGGAUCUGACGGCCCAUAUGGGCCUAUUUCGGCCCAAACUUUUAGGCCCAAUCCAAAUACAAAAAAUAAUGGGCCGAAAGGAAGAGGUAAGAUGUACUGUGAUUAUUGUAAGCGCCCGCACCAUACAAUUAAGAAUUGCUAGAAAUUGCAUGGAAAGCCAAGGGAAAAAGAAAAAGGGAAAUUUUCCUCAGUUUUUCAGGUGACAAGCCAGCACAUGGGAAAAUCAAUUACCCAUGAACAAUAUCACGAGCUAAUGGAAACUUUGAAGAAAUUGGAUCCCUCGGAUAAAGGAGGCAGAUUCACAGGUACAUCCUAUUGUUUGAUGAAUUCGAUUUCAAAUGAUGCAUGGAUUAUCGAUUCAGGUGCUAGUGAUCACAUAGUCUGUGAUAGGAAUUUACUUUCAGAUAUUACAAAAUUAUCUUUUCCUAUAUCAGUACAACUCCCAAAUGGAAAUACCACCAAAGUCACAAUGACUGGGACUGUAAAGCUUAGCUCUCUUGUUACUAUUAAAAACGUGCUUUACGUACCCGAUUUCCAUUUCAAUCUGAUCUCAGUUGCCCGAGCCUGUGAAGGAAAUUCAUGCCAUAUUAUUUUCCAUUCUGAUAAAUGUUUUCUUCAGGCCCGUUCGACUGGCACACUGAUGGGUUUGGGUAGAGUCAGCCAUAGAUUAUAUUUUUGGUUGGAUUUUCCACACUCUUUUAAGUCAUCUCCUGUUGAAUUCAAUAAAUCUCUAUGUAAUGCUACUGCCAAUGGCAUUAAUUUCCUUAAUCAUAAACGUUUGGGCCAUAGUGCAUUAUUUCCCUAUCCCAAAUGUCCCAUUUGUCCCAUGGCAAAGCAAACACGUGCUUCUUUUCAGAAUAGCAAUUCUCGAGCAGCAGAUAUUUUUUCUCUUAUUCACGCUGAUGUUUGGGGGCCUUAUCAUACUUUAAAUCAUGAUGGCUCUAGGUUCUUCCUCACUAUUGUGGAUGACUAUUCUCGUGCCACAUGGAUUUUCCUUAUGCAAUCAAAAAACCAGGUCUUUUCUCAUUUAAAGACAUUCAUUUCCUUAUCCAAAACUCAAUUUCAAAAACCAAUCCGUAGGAUACGUACUGAUAAUGGAAAAGAAUUUUUUAAUGCUGAAUGUACGUCCUUAUUCACUUUACAUGAGAUAUUGCAUGAGAGCUCUUGUGUUUACACACCCCAACAGAAUGGAGUUGUUGAGAGAAAACAUUGCCAUCUUUUAGAAGUGGCACGUGCACUUAAAUUUCAAGCAUCUAUUCCCAGAAAGUUUUGGGGAGAUUGUGUAAUUACUGUAGCAUACCUGAUCAAUCGUAUGCCAUCAUGCAUCUUAAAGGGAAAGACACCUUUUGAAUUAUUAUAUGGGAGAAAGCCGGAUUUAUCUCAUCUAAGAGUUUUUGGGUGUCUGUGCUAUGUCACUACGGUGGGCCAUAGAGAUAAAAUGGCGCCAUGAGCUACUCAAUGCAUUUACAUGGGCUAUCCAACUUUGCAAAAGGGAUAUAGGCUUUAUGCACCAUCUACAAGAAAUUUCUUUAUCAGCAGGGAUGUUGUUUUUCAUGAAGAUGUUUUUCCCUUUUCAUUAACAUCUUUACCAGAAGAAGAAAAGACAAAUUGCCAAUUCCUAUCAGAGGAAAGUCCUCAACUGGAGGAACAUUUAUUGUUCCUCCUGCUCCAAGAGAAGUUGAUGUCUUGCCUACAACACCUCUUGUAAGUCUUGCUGAAAAUUUCAUUGAGCAGCCAUAUAUAAAAGAAUCGCUGCAUGAAGAACCAGCACAGUUGGAGGAUACUUCAGAAACAACCACUACUGAAGCAGUAUCCACCACACCAGAGGAGCCGCAGAGGCGUUCUCAUCGAAUCACUCGACCACCAACUUGGACAAAGGAUUAUAUAUGCGGUUCUUCACAUUCAUCAGGUACUCGAUACCCCAUCUCUUCUUAUGUCUCCUUUGAUAGAUUGUCGGCAGACCAUCUAUGUUGCAUAAGUCGUAUUUCCGAAGGUCAAGAACCUUCUAGUUAUAAUGAAGCCAAAGAUGAUCCUCGUUGGCAAAAGGCCAUGGAAUCUGAAUUGCAUGCAUUGAUGGAAAAUCACACUUGGGAUGUUGUCUCCAUUCCUGCUCAUCGCAAACCUAUUGGAUGUAAAUGGGUAUAUAAAAUAAAAUAUAGAGCAGAUGGUUCUGUGGAAAGAUACAAAGCACGGUUGGUGGCAAAAGGCUUCACCCAGCGAGAAGGUUUUGAUUAUCACGAAACCUUUUCUCCUGUAGCAAAGAAUGUCACGGUUCGUACUUUUUUGUCUAUUGCUGCUCUUCGUGAUUGGCCAUUACACCAAAUGGAUGUCCAUAAUGCUUUCUUACAUGGUGAUCUGGAUGAAGAAAUAUAUAUGGAGCUUCCGCCCGGAUUACGGAGACAGGGGGAGUCGAAGGUAUGUCGUCUCCGUAAAUCUCUUUAUGGCUUGAAACAAGCCUCCCGACAGUGGUAUGCUAAAUUCACAAGUGCACUCUUGGCUGCUGGGUUCAAGCAAUCCAAGUAUGACUAUGCCUUAUUCACCUGGACAAAAGAUAUGUCAUCCAUUUACUUGAUGAUCUAUGUUGAUGAUAUUCUUAUCAUGGGGAAUGAUGAUUCUGCUGUUAAAAAACUUAAAGAGUAUCUGCAUUCGACCUUUCAUAUCAAAGACUUAGGGUCGCCUAAGUAUUUUCUUGGAAUUGAAAUAGCUCGCUCAGAUCAAGGCAUCUUAUUAAGUCAGCAGAAAUUUGUGAUGGAGAUUAUAUCAGAAGCAGGUUUAUCAAGUUGUAGACCAUCAGUCAUUCCUAUUGAGCAAAAUGCUAAACUGACCUCUGUCAACUAUGACACUGGCAUAUCCUCUUCUUCUGAUGAUCCUCUGUUGCAAGAUCCCUCAGGAUAUCAGAGACUAGUAGGGAAAUUGAUAUAUCUCAUCAUGACUAGGCCGGAUAUUUGUUAUGCAGUACAGACUCUUAGUCAGUUUAUGCACAGUCCGAAACAGUCUCACAUGAAUGCAGCCCUGAAGAUUGUGAGAUACUUGAAGACUUGUCCAGGUUUGGGAAUACUUCUAUCCCAAAAGUGUAACAUGGAAAUGAUAGCUUAUUGCGAUGCAGAUUAUGCCACAUGCCCCAUGAGUAGAAGGUCUAUUACUGGUUUCUGCAUUAAAUUUGGGGAAUCAUUACUCUCAUGGAAGACAAAGAAACAGUCUACUGUAUCUUUAUCAUCGACUGAAGCUGAAUACCGGUCUAUGGCCAAGACUGUAUGUGAAAUAGUCUGGUUAAGGGGUCUACUUCUGGAUCUCGGAGCUCCUGUUAAGGGCCAACUUUACUCUUUUGUGAUAAUGAUUCGGCACUCAAGCUUGCAGCAAAUCAUGUACUACAUGAGAGGACAAAGCAUAUAAAAGUUGAUUGUCAUUUUACUCGGGAAAAGAUUCAAGAAGGAAUUGUCGAGACAAGAGGAAUAAGGACUUCGGAACAGCCUGCUGAUAUAUUCACUAAACCUCUUUGUCAAAGACAACAUACAUAUCUUCUACACAAGCUAGGAGUCUUGGACAUAUACAGACCACCAGCUUGAGGGGGAGUGUCGGAAGAUAUGAAGAUAUGAUUUUGUAAUCUCUUGUAAUAGGAAAUCAAAUAUACUCAAAUAUACUUUAGGAUAGAAGAAGAUAGGCAAAUAUAGAAUUACCUUUAUUACUUUCCUUCAUUCUAAUUAAAUACAGAGUUACAUGUACAGAAUCAUUCAAUGAAAAGAAGAUAAUUGCUUCUUCACCUUUGCUCUGUCUUCCGAAUACCUUCUUCUUCUUCCUUUUCUGACAUGACAGAAGGGAAAGAAAGAAAUAAAAAAAGAAAUUAAAUAAAAAGAGAGGAAAAUAAAAUAAAAAAUAAAUAAAAAUAAAGUAUGCAAGAGUAUCGUAAGUUUUUUACUAUUUCUAUGUGAAAAGUUUUUAGUUCAUUUAUAUUAAUAUAUCAUUUAUAUCAAACAAUGUACAUGAUAUAAAUAUAUUCGACUUUAUUACUGCAAUUACCAAAUAGUUGAUAGGAUAUAACAAAAUCCCUCAAUUUUAAAUCAAAUCUUAUUUAAUCCUAUCUUAGUUAGAAAUUUAGACCAGCAAACAUAGCCUUAAGGAAUUAAUGACACUUUAUGUCGUUUAUGGUGCAUUUGAUAAUAUUUCUAUUCUAAUGAACAAUUUCUUUUCAUAACAUUUCUUGGACCAAUUUCUCAGUAAAACAUUACGUAUGAUAAUUACACAAAAUUUUCAUUUUAUAAAUAGAAAAUGAACAAGAAUGCAUUUGAUACGACUUGCAAAUUUUUUUGUGCUGUAGAAUUUCUUUUAAUUUUUUAGAAUUUUCUUAUUUCUUUUCUAUUUUCUUCUCUCUUUUUUCCUCUCUAGGCGGCAAUGGCGACUAGUGGCUUGGGGGGCAAGUUGGGGGGGGGGAGGGGGGGAGCGAGGGCUGAUGACUGAUGGUGGGUAGCGAGUUUCCACUAGCCGAUAAAAAGAAGAAGAAAGAAUAGAUUUAUUUUUAGGAAUUCUUCCGCGGAACAAUAAAUUAUUUUUUUCUAUUUCUUAUUUCUGUUCGAAAUUUAUUUUAUGGCCACUUUUAUAUUUCGAGAAAUAGAAAAAUUUAUUGACGUUACUAAAUAGAUUUUUAUUUUUUUCUACUUUGAGAAAUAAAAAGAGAAACAUGAAACAAUGUUACCAUGCAUACCGUUAUCGUAUCGUCAUCACGUGAUAACGGGGUUCGUACACAAAAAAAGAGU
rnacentral:lncRNA from 1 species